GGCCGGCGACCCAGACGUCGGGCCUGAGUGUGCAGGUCUUGGGGCUGAAAGCGGGGGCGCUUUGGAAGCCGUUCUCGAGGUGGAGGGAAAGGAUUCUUCUCUACCGUUUGGAGACCCAGUGCUGUCCCGGCCGGUGGGAGCGGCAGCACUGACGGGGUCUGACGGCAGGUAGGGGCUCCGGGCUCGGUAUUUCCCCCGCGCUUCGCCCACGUGGGGCCGAGCCUCGGAAUCUGCAGCCAGGUGGCCGCGUGACUCUGAGCAGGGCUCCCUCCCAGCCUUCGUCUUCUCCCCCGAAAGCAAUCAUACCUGGCCUUCCCACCUCACAGGGCCCUUAGCGUGGGUCGUAUCCCACAAAGGUGGUGCGAAUGCAGGUGUCUGCCCACAGGUCCGAAGGUCAGUUAGCGAGGCUCAGGCCAGCCCCGCUGGGGGUAGUAACUGGGGAAGAGCUGCUUCAGGCUGGCAGUUUGCCCCUGGGAGAAUUCCAGCAUGACAUCUGCAGCCCUGUGGUUCCCGAAAAGACCGCUCUCACACGGAAGAAGAAGACGUUCGUGGGACUGAGUCCCACCCAAGUGUAGAGAAACUAAAAAUGAAAUUAAAAAAAAAAAAAAAAUCAGACUUUUUUUUUUUUUCCCCACUAGUCUUCAGCAUUGGUUUUUGGAACCUAUUUCUGGCUUCCUCUUCUGGGCUUUCCUAUAAAAUUGUCAGGCGAUAGGAUGUUACCUUGUAUUCUACUAAAGCGGCAUUGUAGAAAGCCUUGUUAAAGUAUUUGCCAUCAUUCCUUUAUUAUUACUCCUUAGUUGCCUCCAAGACAGACUGGAGAGGUGUUCGGGAGAAAGUAGAUAGAGUCUCCCACUUUUUUCUAUGGAAGUCAGCCUUGCAUUUGCAUUUAGUGUAUACUAAAUACUGUAUAUUUCCAUACAGCCCGGGAAACCGUAGCAUACACUCAUUUUAAAAGAAAUAAAACCUCGCAAAAGUUUUGUUUUCUCCCUUUGCCUGAACUGAAAUAGCACAUCCAGUUCUUGUUCUUUUUUCCUAGAAGCUGAACGCUGCACUUGGUGGUUUCUUUUUGUGGUCUCUUCCAGCUCUAUACCCCACAAAGUUUGUAUUUGCAAAACGAGACCAUGUGGGCCUCCUUUUUGUAGUCUCCCGCCUGAGUCACUUUCCCUAACAGAUCUUUAGCCCAGCCUGGGAUGUGAUUCUUUGUACCGGAGUUGAAGGUACCUAGGAGAAAACGUUACACUUGCUUUCCGAGACUCAGGGAAUCGUUGCUGUGUCUACAGAGUGAUUGGCUCCACUCGGAGUCCCUGACUCUCCUGAAACAUAAAGGGACUUAAGUGUGUCAAGGUCAGCAAUUUGGCAAGAAAAGUAUGUUUCACGUUAGACGGUGACACAGAAAAAAUGCCUUAAAGGUUGAUACAUUAGAUACUUAUUUUGCAAAUUCACCCAAAUUAUCAGACAGGGAAGAGAGGAAUUUGUUGAGUUUCUGCGUAGGUUUUUGAGUAAAUAUAGAAUUAUAUCCUUCAAGGUUUGAAAAAUGCUAAAAAUUUUUUUACUACUUCCAAGAAAAAGAGGAAGCAGACUGGCUAUAGUAAAUAAUAUCUCUGUGAUAUCGCAGUCAAUCAGACUGUGGCCAGACGAUUUCUAGAUCUCUGAUGCUUGGCACUGUUAAAAGUACAUUCCUAAAAUUUCACUGUUGAUAUCUAUUGCACAGAAACCAAGUGAUUGUUAAAAAUUAUUCCCUACCCUUACACAUUUUUUUUUAACCCUCUUCGGUAAACCUGAGCUUAGCAGUUACCAAAGUUCCCUCCGGUUUGGUAUAUCUUGGAGACUCUGAGAAGUUGGAAAAAUUCUUAAACUAUAAUGAUAAUCAGGCUGGCUGGACCACUCCCUUUAUGGUUAAGUCGUAGAGUAUCAGAAGGCUGGCGGGGACCUCACAAACAUUCUUUUAGGGAUGAGGGUCCUACAGACAGCCUCACCAUGCAGCUCUGGUCUUCUGACCUCAGGAACUUUUCUUUCCACAACCAUACUUUCCUCUAUUCCAGUGCAUGGAAAUAAGACUGGCUUAUAAACCGUGACUUACUUGAUUAAUUUAUUCAUCCAUAGGCACUCAACAAUGCUCUCCAAGUAGGCAUAGAAAAUGCUUGCAGUUUGGGGAACUCACUGUUCUCUGGCAGAAAUAUCCUGAUGGUUAUUCCUUGAAGCGUGCAUACAUGGAGACUUGUGGAGCAGCUGCAUAGCUUUUGCAUAACCAGUGAUGCACUGUGGUUGAUGAGGAGUGUGAGGAUGAGGGCCAUGUUGCAGCCCUUCCUCUGUGCCCCCCCCCCCCCCGAGAACUUCACUGACUUGAUUUCAUGGAGUACUUCACUUGAUUUCAACUCUGUGUUUGUUGUCUUUCUUCCCCACUAGAGCUCCUUGGGGGUAGUCAGGACUGGAUUUUUCUUCUUCACAUCUCUCAACCCUUUGUGCAAUUACCAGCACAGGGUAGGCUUUUAUACAUUUGAAUCAAUGAAAACUUUUUUUGGAACCAUGCAUGCGGCCAAAUAUAUUCGCUGGCAUUCAAGAGAUGAGAUUUGCCAUUGAAGUUUUUCUGUCUAAUGGCUGGGCGGUGAGUGUUCCAUAAAGCUCAGAUUGGUAAGAAAAUACGAAUCCAUCAUGGGUUGCAAGGUGUCCCUUGACAGUAAGCUCUGGCUGUCUCACUAGUGACUAAUGAUUCUUGCUACAGCAAGAAAAUCUAAUCUGGAGGAGAGGUAGCCGAAGAGCAGAAAACAAAUGUGGAAGUUUGGAAAUGGUUAGCAGUUUUCUAACAGCCUGGAUUCUGGGGUGAUUCAGAAGAUUUUCAGUCAUACGAUGAGGCUGUUCUUGCAUGGAAAGGCUUCACGACUUUUCAGAAGAAACUGCACAAAAUGUAUACCUCUCCAGGAAGGAGAGGUAAGCUUUAUGAUCGCAGGUGAGAUUGAGAGUAAUUUAUGUAAAACUAUUAUAUUCAUAUAGAAUGGUAAAAAGAGCAAUGGAUCCUUUUUGCCCCAGAUUCAGGAAAAGGGCUAAGUCUGAGAAAAGGCCAGAGGGACUUAGGAGUGGGAGGGAACACAGAGUUCUGGAAAAAGAAAAUAUGACUUAGCAGAACUUAAAACAACAUCUGGGAGGGUAUAGUUAGUCAUGGAAAAAUUGGCAGUCAUGAUUGUGCAUUUUAUGAAAAUAAUUAUGUACUAGUUCAAAAGUUAGCGUUUAGACUGAAAUUAAAUAGUCGAAAGCCUGUACGAUGAACUCUAUUAUCCUCACCAUGCAAAAAUACUUCUAUUAGCUGUCUAAAAUCAUUUACAGGAAGCUUUACCAAGUACGUUAUCGCACAGCACCAAUAUUUUCAAAGCCUAAUUUUAGAGAAAUAACUUCCAGUUCAAACCUUACACAGGAUUAGUAUGUUCAGCACAAAAGUAUCUUUAUAAACCCAAGGCUUAUCAAACAGCCUGUCAACCUCCAUUUCAUGAGCAGUAAAUGUUAUUUUUAUUCUGUACGUACAAUGUUGAUAAACUAGAUACAUCCUAAACACAAGUCGUGGAUAUUGUUUUAGCAACAAAAAGUCAUUUAAAAUGAAAACCUUUAACGUAUAUUCUCAUUAAUAUAGCACAUAUACUUUUAAAGUUUGUACACGGUAUCAUUUUAUGUAAGCAUCCCCUAAUUCCCAAUUUCUAUAGCUCCUUAUGCUUGACAUAUGCACUAACUCGAUGAACAGAAAUCCGUUCAUUCAAUAAAUACUUGACUAUCUUCCUGAUGCUGAGUUCUCCCUAGACCUUGGAUAUACAGAAUAAAACAAGGAGUCUCUUUCCUAUUAAAUAUGUGAGCACUCCUACUUACUGUCCUGGUUUUAAUUGUUUGAAUGACUUCCUGUCAGCAUUUUGGAUUGGAUAUAAAACAAUCUUAAUGUUAUUUAUUAAUAAAUUUUCUUCCAUGCCAAAAAAAUUUAUAAGGUUAGGCCUGUCAUGGUCAAUCCAUCGGACAGGUAUCUUCAACUCAGAAAAUUAUCUGUAGCCUUAAAAUCCAUGUACUUUAUCAGUUUGAAAGUAUGGAUGAACUUUCAAAAUUUUGCACGUGGGAAAAAAGUCAAUAUCCCAUAAACAGGCAAAAGAUAGCUAAGUAUGGGAUUCCUCAGAUGAAGAGUUAAAAAAAAAAUUGGUGACAUAACUAGUUUAAAAGUACUCGCAUCAGAGGCCUUGUUCUUUUUUAGAUCAUUUAUUUGUUGACAUUUUAUAAAAUAGCAUAGUUUACAGAUGCUGUAACGUAUUAGCUCGCAAUCCAUCCAGUCACUUGCCGCCUUUAAUGGAUGAUACUCCAUCCUGUUACAGCAAUGCCUCUUUCACACAGAGCUUGCGAGCUGGAAAGUAAUUGCUGAAUAAGCAAAGUUUUCUGCACAUUGGAAGCAUGGUUCUAGCAUUCGGCUAGUUGUACUUGCCAACCUAAACCACUACCCUCUGUUACUAUAUUGCAGCAACUCGAAGUUCUACGUUUAUUUAUUUUUUUGGGGGACAGAGAGAGACAGAGCAUGAACGGGGGAGGGGCAGAGAGAGAGGGAGACACAGAAUCGCAAACAGGCUCCAGGCUCCGAGCCAUCAGCCCAGAGCCUGACGCGGGGCUCGAACUCACGGACCGCGAGAUCGUGACCUGGCUGAAGUUGGACGCUCAACCGACUGUGCCACCCAGGCGCCCCGCAACUCGAAGUUCUAAAUCAGCUACACACCAACCACAAAAUGACUCCUCUCCCCUGUCAUAAGGACCAUAACAGGACAUAGACUAUAGAGGGAGCUUGUGGUACCAUGACAGGACUGGGUUUUCAGGAUUUGGUAAACUUUAUAGACAGCUGUUAAAUUGACCAAAUCAAAAGGAUGGGCCUUAAACCUGGCCCUUAUUUUUAAAAAUAGGUUUUGUCUUACAUCUCCUAUCCUUUAUGGAUUUGUCAACCCAGAUCUUCCCGUAUACAGGCUAAUAAAUAUGUACUGAAGGAUUACUGUGUGUAAGGCAAGGUACUAGGAACAUUAUGAGUCUUUUUUUUUCUUUUUCUUAAUGUUUAUUUAUUUUAGAGAGUGACAGGGCGGGAGCAGGGGAGGGGCAGAGAGAGAGAGAGAGAGAGAGACCCAGAAUCCAAAGCAGGUUCUAGGGUCUGAGCUGUCAUCACAGAGCCAGACCUGGGGCUUGAACUCACAAACCGGGAGAUCAUGACCUGAGCUGAAGUCGGAUGCUUAACCGACUGGGCCACCCAGGCGCCCAUGAGUACUUUUUCUAAAAUAUCUUGCAAGCUAGUCAGAGAGCUGAAGCAAAUGUGUAAGCUUCCACAGGAGAAGGCGGGGGGUAAGUGAAAUGCGACACGUCGCCAUGUCUCUCACUGGUAGAUUGAGAGCUCUGUGCCAGCAGAGUCUGCUUUAUCUUUACUGGCAUCCCUAGUGCCUGGCGUAGUGCCUGGCAUGUAGUGUGUCCUCCACACCCAUAAAGCUUUGUUUAAAGGUAUAGGAGAUAUUUGGGACUUCGAGGAGACAGUUCACUGUUGUUGUUGUCUUUUUUUAAGUUUCUUUAUUUAUUUUGAGACAGAGAGAAAGGGUGAGGGAGGGACAUGGAGAGGGAGAGAGAGAAUCCCAAGCAGUCUCUGUGCUGUUUGCGUACAGAGGGCUUGAACUCGCAAACCAUGAGAUCGUGAAAUGAGCCAAGAUCAAAAGUCAAACGUUUAACCUACUGAGCCCACAGGUGCCCUGAGAGAAUUCACUUUUCACUGGGAUGAUGAGAGAAGGUUCCCUGGAGGAAAGCAUUAUCUGAGCUGGAUCCCAGGGGAAUGGGUAAGGGGUGGAUGGGUAAGGGGGGAAAGGGUGAGCCAAGGGCUGAGGCCUUUGUGAGCAGAGUGGGGGCCACACACACUGGGUUUGGAGAUCCUGCAGGUGACAAGUGUUGCCAAAAGCUAGAACAUUGGGUCAUGGGCAGCUCUGUGGGCUCCACUAAGAAGUCUGGACUUGGUUCAGCAGACGGUACCUUAAGAGGCUUACUCUUCUGGUCGUGGAAUGUCAGAAGAAUUGAGUCAAGGGGCAUAGCGGGAAUCUAACCCCCUAACCCAAAUGGUGGCUGAGAAAUGGAAAGGAAGGACAGCUGUAGGAAACUGUAUGAAGGAAGAAGCUGCGGGACUCAGUGACUGAUUGUGGGUGGGGGCAGGAAGGAGAGAGAAGAGUAAGGUCUUGGGGCAGAGAAAAAUGGCGGCACAGGUCAAGAUGGAGCCUGGAAUGGAAGGUUGGCAGCUCAGAAGCUCUGAAUUUACACAUGUUGAAGGGAAGGGGCAGUGGACAUCUAGGAAGAGCGCCCAGCACAAAGAGUUGGGAGCGGGGCACUAAGGCUUGCGAAGAGAUUGAGGGUAGAGCUAGAAAUUGGGAGACAUUUGCCUAGAGGUUUGGUCAAAGAUGUAAAAGUGGACAAGGUCCCCAAAGGAGGGUCUUUAGUGACAGUAAAUCCCUUAGCAAGCACUAACAACCUGCUCAGCCUGGCUCAAAUCAAAGGGGCAUUUAUAAGUUUGUGAGUCUGGGAAGCUCAUUGCCCAGUGGAAGGGUUACAGAACCAGGGCCUCUGAGAUUGGGUUUCUCUCUUGCUCUUGCCUGCUCUUUCUCCCACUGAAGCUGGUCUCCAUUUGUGUCUGCACAUGGACUCUACGUGGUAGGGCCUGGUUACUGCCAACAGUGUAGAGCAACAUUCUCUCAGCUCUAUAUCACACCAGGGUCCAGCCAUCAUUCUUGGGAAGGACUUUGUCCCUAUUUGGGGCAUUUGUUCACUCCUUGGCCAGUCACCAUUGCCAGAGGAAUACUAGGCCUGGCCAUGUGUCCACUCCUGGGGUCAGGGAGUGGGUUCCCUCUACUAGAAAGAACAGGUCAAUAAAGUUAGCCAUCAGACAGAAACAAUCGCUACCAGUGGGUCUAGAACUGAGGCUGGGACAUGACUGGAGGAGGAAGAUGACCUAGGGAAGAAAGUAGAAGAGAGUCCGGAGAGAUGGGGGAGGACAGAUGGGACCCCAACACUGAAGGAGAGGAGUUUUAAUAAGAAAGAAGGGGCCAGCGCACCUGGGUGGCUCAGUUGGUUAAGCAUCUGACUCUUGAUUUUGGCUCAAGUCAUGAUCUCACAGUUUGUGAGUUUGAGCCCCCGUCCAGCACUGUGAUGACAAUGCAGAGCCUGCUUGGGAUUCUCUCACUCUCCGUCUCUCUCUGCCCCUCUCUCAAAUAAAUGCUCUCUCUCUCUCUCUCUCUCUCUCUCUCUCAAAAUAAAUAAACUUAUAAAAAAAUUUUUAAUUAAAAAAGGAAGGGACCAUGGCAGCUAACAGUGAGCAGAAAACCAGUUAUGUAUGUAAUUUUAAUGGGUACUAAAAAACAACCCCAACUCCUAAAAUUAACUUGGCUACCCAUCUUGUCAAGUUUCUUAUUUCUUUGGGUUAAAACUAGAAAGAUCUACACGGCUGAAUAGGGGAGAGACACAUUAGGUUUUCUUAGUCAUUCAGAUCAAUUCAAUAAACUUUUAUUAACCCCUUUCCCCUAUGUGCUAGGCGUGAUGUCAGGUGCUGGGGACACAAAAAGAAAGAUGUAUUCUUGCUCUGAAGAUUCUGAGACGAAGGACAACCUGAAAUUUACAAUAAAGCACAGGAAGUGCUAUGUUCCUCAAUCCCAUGAAUGUUUGUGGAGCAGCUACUAUGGACUUGACUAGUGCUGGGUACUUGGGGGAGGUCCUGUCUUCUGCCUGGUCAGUGGCCAGAAUCCCGAUCUCACCCUCCUACCACAGUCAAUGCCCCGUACUGAAGUUAGUUGUGAGGUCAUUCUCUUCUGCUCUGGUCUAAGCAUCAUGCAGGCAGGAACAUGUCUGCCUUGUUCCUGCACUGAAGGCCAGUAGUUUAGAUGCUAGUAUCACAUAUUUGCCAAAUGAGAGAAUAAUAAACUAUACAUAGCCCUGACAUGAUGUCAUUUUCGAGAAUCCAGGAAACAUGCAAAAUGACUUUGUUCUCUACAUUUUCUUUCUUCUUAGCUGAUAUCAUGCCGCCAGUGGAAAAGCGAAUGGUCAUUUGGAAGCAUUCAGCAGCCCUCAGUAGCUGUCCAUUUCUAUUAUUUGUGGCGAGUAAAAAUCACCAGAAAAUACUAUUCUAGCAUUCUCUAGGUAUUAGCUUAUUUAAUCCUCACAACAACCCUGUGAGAUGUAGGUAGAAUUUUAUACACAUGAGUUAACCCAAAGCCCAGAGAGGUUAAGUAACUCACUCAGGGUUACCCAGCUGGGAGGUGGCGAGAGCUGGGAUUUGACCGUAGGCAGUUAGCUCCGAGGUGCACCUCGGCACCCACUAUACCAGGCCACCUCUCCACAGGGCAGCGUUAAGGUGCGCACCUUCCCUGCUGCACAUCCCUUUUCCUUUUUCCCAGUGUUUCCUGCCCUUGUGAAGCUGGCCCUCUCUGAGGUUCCUGGCUUUGAAAUACGGGGAAUUUCCAAUAGAAAACCAUGGCUAAACCAGGCCUUAGUUGAGAAUAAAGGGCUCCUUCUUUUGCUUUGUUUCCACCUCAUUUAGUCCUUAAUAUUUUUUGACAUCCAGAUUUUUUUUCUCUCCGGAGUGGGGAAAAAAAAGGAGACCCUAGCCUGAAGAUGUCUUUUCCCCCGCUGACAACAUGAAACAAAAGCUCUUCCCUGUUUCUGUUUUUCAUUAAGAAAUAGGGGUCAUGAUGAUAAUUAACAAACCAGAGUUUAGGUUAGGAAGGCCCUUCUGACGUACUUCUUGCUUAUGCCAUAAUUGAGCUGAUGAGCUAGUUGAAUCUAGAAUCACCUCCACCUAUCGAUCCACCUUCCACAUGCCUUUUCUAACAUGUGAAUUCUCGCCCUAUUUGAUACACAUGUCCAGGCUUGAGAUGGAACUUGUCGUAGAAUCACUUAUAUUUCCACUGGUCUGUGUGUAUGCUGAUUUCUCCUUAUUCGAGAGCCCAGAGGGGAUGCUCAGGCAGGUAAGCUCCCUCCCUCGGGAUGCAGAAGCCAUCUCCACCUCCGUGGCCCCUCACUUGCCCACACCUUCUGCCUCCUGCUAACCCCUGAGCUUGCCUCUGGAAACAAGUCAAGUGGCCCCAGUGCCGGGGUGACAGAGGCCUUUCUUAGCUGAACAGCUACGAUCUUUGUGCCUUUCCUAUGUGGUCAUUUCCACGUCACCUUUAAAGCAUCUUAGAAAAAUGUCGAUGGUAUCUGAGAUGGUAUCUUCUCCCCCCUCCCACUGGAAACAUUUUUAUCAUUUGGCAGUCAGGUUCCAAUAAUCAUUAAGGGCAUCCACGAGGCAACACCCCCUGGGGGCAGCAGGAGCUGAGUGAGACAGCGUGUGCGAUGUUAGGGGGCUACGGGGAAAGAUAGGGAGAAAUCUGUGUUUGUAAUAGGGAGGAGUUUGGGUCUGACUCUAUGACAUGAACCACAGGUUCCCACCAGCUGCCUCCGAAUACUCCAAGAGGUACUUCGGGGUAUGUGAACACUUAGUCCCCAUACCCGAGGAAGUCACUUUGCGUCUUUUUAUGUGGGGCAGAAAGGUUGUGUUGUAACUGGGGAUAUUACUCUCAUGCUAUCAGGCAGUACUCACAGACUCUGAUUCCCGGUGGCUGUUUAGCCCAGUGGGGCAAGGAUGGUUACCGCACUCACGCCGUGAUGGGUACCAAGAACAUCAGGUGUGUGAGAGAUGCCAUUCCCGUGGGUCUUUCACAGAGAGUUCCACCCACCCUGAGUUACCCAAGAGAGCUGCUCCCUACAGCGCAGCCUCAGCUCUCGCUGCCACGCUAUUUCCUGAUAGUAUCUGGUGCCUCUCCAGAUAGCCUCCACUUCUCUCUGCCUCUGCUUUGAUCUCUAACCUCGGUAAGCUGGAUCUGACAUCGGCUCCAUAAAAAUCUGGUCCUGGACCUCUGACCAGGAAUUUUGUGUCGCUAAAGAAGUGUGCAUGCAGGCUCCUUGCUUCCUUCUGUGCCUGUGACCUGUUGGGCAGGGCACUAAUUCUUUAAGUCAGCAUUUCAAAGAGAAGAUUAAGAACAAGUUAAGCCUUUAGUUCAAAAAGUUCAGUUAAUCCUAGAGCAAAGCACACUGGGUUUUGAGGCCAUGUGAAAUAGCCAAGCCUUAAAGUCAACAGUGGUCAUGGAAAAGUCACACACAGUCCUUCCACUAAGAGGGAGAAAUUUAUAUGGUGAGUGUGUGUGCGCACGCGCAUGUAUGUGCACAAGCUGUUUGAUUUCUCAGGGUUUUCCUUUUCCUAUCUGUAAAAUGGGCACAAUGAAUCAGUGGCCCAGAUGUCCUAUCCUCUGUUUUGCUAUCUUAGAGACGGAUGUGUGGAUCAGAGCUUUUCUUCCUGGCUGCUACAUGCUUGUUGUAUCAAAUAGUUACUAUUUCCAAUUUUUUAAAAAAGUUUUAAAUUGACAUUUGUCUUCUUCUAAGGAUUAUACAGUUUAUGGUUUCUGUGAACAUACCUCCUAAACUGACUUGGUUCAAAGCAUCCAGUGGUUCCAGACAUAAACUGGUUAUGCGAGCUGGAGACCAAACUGGAAUUCACUCAGAUAUUAGGGGCCAUUUACUUGUGGGUCUGCUUAUUUUAUCUCGGCAUUGGCACAUGCAGUGUUAUGGUUAUCACAGUUUCAGCAAUACCCAUGAUUUACUGAGGUCCAGACAUGCAGUGGCGCACAAUGGGUGCACAGCUCUCGGGGCAGAUAAACCUAACCAGGUACACCGGUGGGACACAUCACUCAGAGGGGGGAGGCUUGCUGGCAGCUGAUUGCAUGACAAGGUCUGCACCUGUUCCUUAGUGCCCAUCUCUUUCCAAGGUCAGUGGGAGGUGCUGUUCCGGGAGGAAGAGAACUUGAGAGGGAACGGCUCAGAAGGUGAAGCACAGAGCAUUUUCUGCGACUCUCCUACGUGCCUGUAAGACUUUUCUGCGAAAACUCACUGGGUUCUCCCUUCACCUAAAAGCUCCUGAAACCUCCAUUCUUCAAAGUGUUCUUCAUCAAGAAGGGAUGUUCACAGAAACCAUAAUCCUUAGAAGAAGGUAAGUGCCAAUUUAAAACGUUUUUUCACAAUUGGAAAAGGUAAAAGCAUGUAGUAGCCAUCGAGAAAUGCUCUGGUCCACACGUCCGUCUCUAAGAUAGCAAAACAGAGAAUAGGACAUCUGGACCACUGAUUCAUUGUGCCCAUUUUACAGAUAGGAAAAGGAAAACCCUGAGAAAUCAAACAGCUUGUGUGCGUGCACGGGCAUGCACACGCACACACACACACACACACACACACACCAUAUAAAUUUCUCUCUCUUAGUGGAAGGAGUGUGUGCAACUUUUCCAUGACCGCUUUUGAUUUUAAGACUUGGUUAUUUCACCUGGCCUCAAAACCCUGGACAAGCUGGUGGUCUCUCCCCAAUACCCACCUCUGAACACUCCCCUCUUUGCGAAGCACCAUCUAAAUGAGUAGGUUUUCAUAUGCCCGAACACUUCAUAAAUAAGUAAUUGUUUGGCUCGUAUUGAUGAACUUUUGCAUCUAGAUCAUCAAGAUUUAGUCACAAUAACCAUGUACUGGGAUGAUCUAAUUUACGUCUGAUGAAAAUCCUGGAGAGCAGGUGCUGUGAUUUCCCCCGUGAGAAAACUGAAGCGUAGCAAGGCUAAAGUAACCUGGUCAAGAUCACACACUGGACGAGGCCGAGCUCACUCUCAAACCAGGUUGUACAGCUCCAGAGCGUGUACAGUUGAGCACGACCCAGCCUGCUAGCACCUCAUCCUGGGCACUCACUCUGCGCCCGCUCAGGGCCGGGUGCUGCGGGGAACCAGGGAGAGCAAGAUGUUCCCCCUGCCCUCACGGGGGCCCAGGGAGGUGAAGGCAGCAGUGUGUGCUAUAACAUGGGAGAUGCCGUGCUAAGUCCGUGACCCUGGAAGGACAAAAAGUGCUGCAGCGGCCUGAGAAAGGAGUCCUGAGUUCUCCCCGGGGAACUGUUUUAUCCUUUCAGUCUCACCUGGCUAACUUGAAUUUUUUGUGUAUUAAAAGGAUGACUCAGACUUUGUAAACUGGGAGAAAGUACCUAUACAACAAAACAAAACAAAAUAGAAAAAAAAAAAAAGACUUUAUGGCUUUAAAUAAAACCCCUUGUUUGCCUCCCCUGGUGAGUGGCAGGUAGUCUGGGACGCCCUUCUGUUUAUUCUGUUUGCCUUUUUCUUGUAUUGUCUGUUCUGCCCAACGGUGAAAUUCAGCUUCCUUCAGCAGCUAACUUCAUUGCCUUGCAAGGCAUUAACCUUGAUAGAAAAUUUUCUAAUUAACGCCGAGGAGGAAGCGCAGGCUCUGAAGCCUUUCCUGCCCUCCCAUACCUGUUCAACGACUCCGGCAGCUUUCUUUGGCAAGCCAGAGAAGCAAACAAACGGAAAAUCCAACCCGUCUUCAAGUUUAUCCCAAAACAGUUGUUGGAUUAAUGUAUGAGGUGGACUUGACUGCUCCAGCCAGUGACGGUAGUGACACUGUUUUGAGCUUAUAGACAAAGCCUAAACCUUCAGUGAUGUCUCCAGGUGUUGAAAGUAACAAAACCCCUUAGGGAAGUGUCAUGAUUAAAAUACCACUUGGGAAUGGGCCUGAGCGGACUUCUUUUUCCUUGACAAAUUCACUGAGAAUGAGGCAGCAGGAAGCCAUGGGUGGGGAGGGGGUGAGCAGAUCUACCCUGGGUCAGAACAGAGGAGAGGUGCUUCCUGGGCAAUCGGGCUGAGCUCCAGGCUGCAAGUCUGGGUGAGGGUGAAGGGUAAGGAAGUCCCCCCACCCCAAGCAGGCUUCCAGCAGCCCUUAUUCUUUUUGGAAAACAUAAACAGAUUGAGGGCUCUGUACAAAUUGCUACAUGAUACCCAACAUCCUGUGUCUGAGUAAACGGACAUGGCUAGCUCAGGCCUUGAUUGUGCUUCAAAAUUUAACCUCUCAGGGUGCCUGGGUAGCUCAGUCAGUUAAGCGUCCAGCGUCCAACUUCAGCUCAGGUCAUGAUCUCACAGCUCCCGCGUUUGAGCCCGGAGUCAGUUUCUGUGCUGCCCAUUCAGAGUCUGGAGCCUGCUUUGGCUUCUGUGUCUCGCUCUCUCUCUCUCUCUGCCCCUCUCCUGCUUGUGCUCUGUCUCUCAAAAAUAAGUAAACAUUAAAAAAAAUUAAAAUAAAAUUUAACUUCUCAAGGCAAACAGAUAUGUGGGGAAGCAGAGAUUCUGUACCAAGGAUGUUCGGGUUUGGGCAUGACUUAUUCUCUCUUAGGAAACAGAAACGUAUCUUCACUUUUAAGAUAACAACAGUACUGUCCCAGGACAGCAUAAUACCAGGAGAAACAAAUAUCUUAAAUAACAAAUAGAGUCUUCAUUUCCCCUUAUCGGUCCAGAGGAACACAUUAAAAAAAAAAAAAAAAGAUUUGCAAUGUAAGAAGUCUUGUCCAGACAUAUUUUCCCCCUAAAUAUUAAUAAAUCAAAAAGUAAAUUAUGGUACUAGACUAUUUAAAUUAGGUAUAUUUUUGCAAGGCAUUAAUAUAAAAGGAAGAAAUUAGAGUCAGAUAUACUGGGCUCUACUCCCUUCCUUCUUCCAGAAGGAAAGAAGGACUGUGAGGCCUCCCCAGCCCCACGGGACCAUUCGAACUUCCUCAGGCCUCAGCAGAGCAGUGCAGGGUCCCGUCUUGUGUCAGACAGACACAGCUUUUCCACAGCUUUCCUCAGCUGCUUUCCUGCCUGAACUUCUUUCUUUUUUUUACUCAUUUAAAAAAAAAUUAAGACUUUGUUUUUUUUUAAGAGCAGUUUUAGGUUGACAGCAAAAUUGAGCAGAAAGCACAGAGAUUUCCCAUAGGCCCCGGCCCCCCCCCCCCCACAUGCACAGCCUCCCCCAUUGCGAACAUCCCCACCAGAGUGGUACGUUUCUUACAACAGGUGAACCCACACUGACACAUCGUUGUCACCCAAAGUCCGCAGUGCACGUUAUGGUCCACUCAUGCUGGUGUGAAUUCUACAGGUUUGGAUAACUGUGUAAUGGCCUGAAUCCAUUAUUAUGGUGUUAUACAGAGUAUUUCACUGCCUUCAAAACCCUCUGUGUUCUAUUUACAAAAAUAGGGAAUGUUUCAUGCAUUCGUGUGUCAUUCUUGCAGGGGGGCCAAGCUAAUCUUCUCUGUAUGGUUAUAGCUUUAGGACAUGGGUGGCCGAAGAGGGCACUGAACUUCUUAUGAGGCAAAACCAAAAAGACUCUCCCUUGUUGAAAAUCAGCCCUCAGUGACUGGAGGGCUGCACAGUCGGCUCAGGUCAGCUUUGUGUUGCCCUGACCGGUAUUGCCACCCCUUUGCCCUGGUGGGGAAACCAAUCUCCAUCGUCUACGUGAAUCUGUGGAGGACUCAGGUCCCUGGCAGCAAUUUCUGGGUUUGGAAUUGCAUGGAUUCGCCAGUCUUCCUAUGCUGAGGGCAGGUUCAUUGCUUUUCUAAUAAAAUGUUCAUAGCUCUGGUUCCAGGCAGAGAAUUGGCACACAGUAAGUGUUUGUUGAGUUCAACUGAAUAAACUAGAAUUCAGGGGAGAAAUAUCAUUGUUCUUUAUAGUAAUAUCUCUAUUAAUGAAGCAGGUGUGUCCCUAGUGCAUGUGUAAUUGCCAUUAACGUGUCCGGCAGAGCCAGGAAUAACAGAGGAAGUGGGAGUUUCGGUUUCUCUGUGACCACAUCCUUCCAGGACAUUCCCCCUUCCCUCUCCUCCAGAUAGAGUGGAUGGUAUUGCUCUGGCUCAUGUGAAGGGUUGAGGGGUUUCUAUUCAUCUGCAGUGCUUAGAGUAGUGCCUGGCACACUGCAAGUGUUCAGUGAAUUUCUGUGGAAUCAAUGAAUAAACCAUGGUUCCGCACCCCAGCAAUGGGAGGGCCUUGGGAAGCUGUAGCCUGGGCAGUGCUUUUGCAGUUCUGGAAUUAGACCCAUGAGAGUCCAGACACACAGCCAUCCACCCUCUGCCAGAGCUGGGGCUGAUUCUAUCCUGUUUGGCUCCUUAGCUGCUGCUUUCAAUCUCCAUUCUUCUAGACGAGCUUUAUUAGAAUGAGUUGUAUCUACAGGAAGCGAGUUCUGUUUGCCUUCUGAAUCUUCUACUUUGCAAUCCAACCAUGCAUUAUGAUUCUUUAAUACUCCCUUGGAGUUCAUGCUUCCUGGAUUUCAGCCCAUUCUGAAAUAUUUGAUAAUAUAUUUGAUAAUAUAUUUGAUAAUAUAUUUGAUAAUAUAUUUGAUAAAAUAUAUAUGAUAUUUGUUGUCACGGAUGAGCAGGAAAAAGUCCUUUGUGCCACCUAAUCCUCUUUAAUCAGUGGCCUACAGCAAUACUUUCAAGCUCUCCUUUCCCCACCCCAUCCUACCCACCACCAUAUUUGCAGCCUAUUCACCACCCCAUUGUUGAUUUCUGAAUAGUGUAUUUCCCAUUAGAUUAGGGAUUGGUCCUUCUCUGUCCAGCCCUGUAUGGUAGGGGAGUACAUUUCCGAGGCUCCCUUUUAGCUUCUUAGCAUAGUCAUUGGGAAGAAGUGGUAGGAGACUGAUGGGCGACAGGAAGGGAGAAGCCAGGGUAUCUCUCUCCAUCUCUAGCCCCCACUUUGGUCAGCACGCCCCCUGUCAGCUGCACCUCCUCCGUGGACCCAGCAUGGCAGUUCUAUCCCUGGGAUCUGGUAACACUACCUAUUGUGCCUCCAUCCCUAGGGAUAGUGACAGAUGUUUGCUCGUGUUCUUCUUGAGAUUGCUUCCCUGUGUCCUCUUUGGUUUCUUAGCUCUUCCAUGAUCUCUGUAACCAAUUCCAUGUAUUAAAAAAAAUGUUUAUUUACUUUUGAGAACGAGAGAGAGAGAGAGGGAGAGAGAGGGAGAGAGAGAGAGAGGACCAUGUGGGUGGGGGAAGGGCAGAGAGAGGGGGAGACAGAGGAUCCAAAGUGGGCUCUGUGGUGACAGCAGAGAGUGUGACACGGGGCUCAAACUCAUGAACCGUGAGAUCCUGACCUGAGCCGAAGUUGGACGCUUAACGGACUGAGCCACCCAGGCACCCCAUGUAACCAAUUCCCUGUAUUAAAUCCAGCCUGGCUUGAGACACCUAGAGUGGUUUCUGGUUUUUGACUAGACUCUAGUAGAUACAGCAUGCAAAUACUACUGCUGACUUCAUGUGAACUCCUCACUUUUCUUCUGACUCCUCUGUGGACUGAAGCACUUACCUCACAAGGUGUUGUCAUAAUAAGUUGUUUGUGGAAGAUCUCUGAGAUCCUGGAGUGGCUGGUAAAUUAUAAGCAAGUGCAAUAUGUCAUUAAUUAGCUUUCAUCCAAAUACUCUGUGCAUGCUAAAGAAGGCUUAAUUUCUAUUCUUUUUGGAGGGACUAUUUGAAAAGUCCCUGGUUGAAGAGGCUGCAGCACUCCCUUGACAAUGCUUUGGCUUGCCUUCUAAGCCUGGAGGCAGUUGUGGUACCUGACUUGUCACUCACUCAGUGCUGGGUCACCUUGCACCUGUCCCAAAGCCAUUCAUCCUCUCAACUUUGGGUUCCAGUGGGCACCCAAACCUAUAUUUAGGGUAGCUGUCCCAAGGGACCCGGCAAAUGACUCAGGGCUGCAGGUUUGGGUGGAGCAUGGCAUUGAGGGCUGGAUACACCUGGAUUUGAAUCCCAGCUUUGCAUCUCCUGAGAUGUGUAAGUUUGGAAAAAUUACUUCACUUCUUUAAACCUCAAUUUUUGUUUAAUGUCAAAUGAAGAGAAGAAAGUUUCACAUCAGGCUUUACAUUAGAUGGUUGCCUCAAAGAAAAAGAUCUAUCUUAAGGCCCCAACCAGAGUUUACAAAUAUCAAGACUUGGCUACUGAGAGUUGGAUCUUCUCCUUUCCCAUCAACACAGUAUGUAAAGUAAUACAUGUUCUGUAUGGUCUGUGGAGAAUCCCAAACCCGCCCCUGUCCAAAUCCAGAUAGGCUUGGAAGUAACCUAGAACCUAAGACUUUUUAUUUUUAUUUUUUUAUAUUAAAAUGUUUAUUUACUUAUUUUUGAGAGACAGAGAGUGCAUGCAAGCAAGGGAGGGGCAGAGAGAAAGGGAGACAGAGAACCCCAAGCAGGCUCUGUCAGCACAGAGCCUGAUGUGGGGUUCGAACUCAUGAACUGUGAGAUCAUGACCUGAGCCAAAAUCAAGAGUCAGAGGCUUAACUUUAGACUGAGCCACCCAGGUGCCCCAAACCUAAGACUUUUUAAAGAAUACAAUAAUUAUGUUUCUGAUAAAACAUCAGCCUCCUUAAUUUAUUUCUUGUCUGUGCUUAUUCACCUUGCCUAUUUAUUAAACAUGUUUGAUUUCUUAUUCUUUGCAAGUAGGAUAUGAAAAGGGAGAGAUAAGGAAUGUUUAACUUUGUAUAGCUCUGAUUUCACACCUGGUAAAUACUGGAUGGUGUUGACAGGAAUCCAGGUCCUGAACGUCUGAUCGUGAGGGACUAGGCAAGAGUCUUUCAUUAUGAGAUGUAGUCUAAGCUCUGGCUUGACCAAACUCUAAGCUGGAGGGCAUCACAUCGGCAUUAUGCUUUUGUUUUGAGCUCCCUUGAAAGGAAUUGAUUUCUGCUGUUUGGGGGCAAUGGGCAAAAUAUGCCACUAACUUAAUUUUAUUUAAUAACUCUGUUAAAUGGUUUUAGCCAGUGCUUUCACUAUUUAAAAGGGAAAAUGUAAGCCAGUCAACCCACAUUAUGAUCUAAAAAGCAAACCCUGUUAGAUGAAUGGGAAUGUGGAGGAGGAGGAAUUCCACAUCUCAAACUAUCCUACCAAGUGCUGAUUUGCAUAGAUUUGAACCGCCUGGCUGGGAAAGAAACUGGGGCACAGCUUUGUCAAUGAGGUAUCAGAGAUCUAAAGACUGAGAUGUUCUCAGAUGAAGAAGCUCAGAACCUCAACUCUCGUCAAAGAGGGACUUUUGCCAUAGGAGGUGGUCAAGGGACUUUUGGGGCAGCUGAAAGAAGCCUUUCCCCUUCUUGCCCUUUGAGGAGUCAGGGGAAGGGUGGGCCAGGUGGUGUAAGGAAUUGCUGGUCUGUCACAAUACAUAUAGCUUAAAUAGCAGCAGAGUCAAAGUUCUUCUGACUCUGAAACAAUAAUUCAAAAAGCAGCAUGUCUCUGGGGACUGGUCCUAAAGAAGCCCCCAAUGAGAAUAUGAGGAAAGCCCAGGUAAAAUCGCCCUUAUGUAGGACAGAUGUGAUCAAUGUGCUUAGCUUCUCUUUUCAGCUUUCUUGCCCAGCCUGCAAGUUUGCAAAGGAGCCUUUGGAGAACAUGUGUGGUCAUAUGUUCACUCUCAUGGGCCUAAACCAGGCAGCACCCAAUUGAGCCUUUUUCAUUCUGCAAUCUUUCUAUUAAGUACUCUGGAUUCUUCUUACCUGAAUUUAAAUAACACUUAUCUCUUUCUAAAAUGCUACGUACAUAUUUUUAAUUUUGUUAAAUGAUUGUCCACCCUCCAGGACUAUAAUUUCCUUGAGAAUAGAUAUCUUUGUGUGUUUUAUUUGCCCACAUAUGUCCCCAGCACUUAGAACAGGGCUUGAAACAUAGCAGAUCUUCAAUAAAUAUUUGUUGAAUGCAUGAGUGAAUAAACCACAAUCCUGGUUUCAUAUUUUCAGUAUAUCAGAAGGCUAAUAAUAGACACUUACAUUUAAAAAACAUUCAAGAGUAAGUAAAAAUUCAGCUCAGUAUCUUUUCCCUCUCUAUACCUAUAGUCUACACAGCUGGUUGGACCUGUGUAGAUUCCAAGUUGGAUAUCUUAGCCAGAUUAGAACAGGAUUCUUUGUGGUCACUCUGGAGAUAGUACUGGAAGGCAGUGGAAUUUGGGGACACAGAGGGCUCUCAAUAGGAGGGAGACACUAGCUGGACUUAAUGAAUUUGCCACUUGAGUAAGUCGUAUAGACCGGGAAACACAAUUCAUUUAUGUGCUUCAUUAUGUAAAUGAACUCCAUGCUUAAAAAUUCAUAAGAGACUACUAUCUCUAAUCAUAAAUUCAAUUAACUUACCAGGGUGGAAAAACAGAAUUCAGGCAGACAAGAUAAUCAAGCCAAGCUUACUACAUUGGUCUCUCCCAUUGGAAAACUGAACAGGAAGGCAAUGAUCAGCUUAGUAAUGCUGGAUUCAGAGCCAGGUAUCUUAGUUCUAGAACUCAGAUGUUGGAGCCCACACUCUGAGGGCUGAUGUGUGUUUCUCCACAACUGGGCACUCUACACCCCCAUUGGCCUCCAUUCUACUUCCAGUCAAGACACCCUCUGGUCUCUUGGGAUGGUGUGUGGAUGGGCCAGCCAGAUUCUGAAACUUCCCCUUUUCUGUGCUUCUGUAGGUGAUUAACACAUUCCACGAAAUAUGUUCAUGCUUCAGUCAAGUCUUGGUCUGGCCUGGGAAUCAUUCCAUCUCACUACUUCUUAGAUUAAAUAUGCAUGCAGAUCAUAUUUUUUGAGUGUUUGCCCCAUGCUGACCAAUCCAAAUGGUUCUUCUGCAACCCACUGGAUGGUUUGACUCUUCAGAAGUUAUGCAUUUCUGUUGUUUCCAAAUGUUCGGGAUAUCCCUCUAUAUCCCCUAUUCACUGUCUUUGCCUAUCAAGUAAGCUCCAAAUACUGAUGGAUCUGCCCUCCUGAGCAGCCUCUCCCCCAGAGAGCAAAGCGAUGACUCUCUGAGCCAAACCUUCUGAUCCCUGAUGAUUAGUUUCUUCCUAUAAAUCAGUAAGUUGUCUUUUGAGUGUAUAUGACCACCUCCAGUGAAGUGAACUCCCCUCUAGUGAGUUCAGCUUGUUCCUCUAGAGCUUGAUCAUUCCUGGCACAUUGGAAAGUCACCACAGGAUUGAGAGAUAUGGCCUGAAGGAAGCUCACAUUAGUGGCUGUCUCUGCAUGGGUUCCCCACCCAUUCCCACACCACAGCCUCUCUUGCAUAAAUCCACCCACCUUUAGAGCCCCUAAGCCCCUAUGCAGCGGAUCCGCCCUGUAGUUUGGGGCCCAGCCCAUGACUUUUGGGAGGUGAAAAGCUGAAUUAGCAAGAUGACAGAUAGAAUGAUCCAGAAAAUCCUGUCCUUCUGGGAAGUCACUGGUCUCACACCAACUCUUGAGAAAUGUGUCCCUAUGAUCCCAGCCAAGAAACCUAUUAAGUUCAUGUUCUGAAACCUGUGAAGCUAAGGACCCCAACCCCGGGGGCCCCUCCAUGGGCAGCACCAGUGUGGGAGAGCCAUUUUUACCACCCUUAUGACAACGGGGCCACUGAGUAAUGUUUAGAACAAAGCUUUGAUGAUGCAGAAUAACUGACACUCUCUCCACAUUAAUGAAAGUAAAUUCAAUUACAUUAGUUAUACUUUGCAUGGUUUUGUUUAUUAAAACUAGGAAAUGGACAAUACACUUUGGAAAAAAACCAUUAAGCAAGGCUUGAAAUAACAAGAGAUUUCUUCAAAUAAUUCCGUUUAUAAUACCAGGGCUAUCCAAUAGAAAUAUAAUCCACACCACAAAUGUAAUUUAAAAUUUUCUAGUAGCGAUAUUAAAAAAGUAAAAACAAUUUCCCUACCUACUUUUGUCAUAUCCUAGUAAUAGAUAAACUAUGAAAAAGGUAAAAAGAAACAGGUGAAAUUAAUUUCAAGAGUAUGUUUUUCCAGUCCUGAGGAGAACGUGCCUCCUCCCGGUUGGGCAGAUAAACCUUCAUCCUAACAUAUGGAAUCAUGGACCCUAAGGCAAGACUUGUCUACAUUCGUCACCGACAGCGGGGGACAUUCAGGACUGAAUCUUGGCACAAAGAAUGAUUAACAGCUGUGGGGACCAGAGGUAGCAGGUGAAAAAGAGCCCGUAAUCAAAGCUUCUGACUUCAUUUGGAAAAUGUGGUCCUAACUUAAAAGUGAGAUUACUUUCCCUUUUCACUGCUUUGCCAAAUUAACUCCUUUGAGAAGAAAAGCCACGUUAUUCUUUUUUUUUAAUGUUUAUUUUUAAUGUGUAUUUUUGAGAGAGAGCACGUGAGGGCACGUGAGUAGGGGAGGGGCAGAGAGAGGGACAGAGGAUCCGAAACCCACUCCAAGCUGUCAGCAGAGCCCCCCGACGCGGGGCUCGCUCGAACUCACCAACCACAAGAUCGUGACCUGAGCCGAAGUCACUCAACCGACUGAGCCACCCAGGCGCCCCCCACGUUAUUCUUUUUAUUGCAACUUGUCCGUAGGCUGCUGUAGGAAUGACCGUACAUAGUAAGACAAACUGGAUCUCGAUAAUUGUGAGAGCAGCUUGCCUGCAGCUUGGCUGGCAUUCAUGGCCUUCCUUUUGAUACAAGAUCAAGCACUUACAAAGCACAUGUUGUGGGACCGACAGGGUGUACUGGGCCCUGUAAUGUAUAAAGAAAAAAACCAAGCCCUUGUCAUUUUGCCGAAGUUAGGCUUUUUUAGAAGACAAUACAAUAUCUAAUAUAAUGCUAAUUAUGUGUCAUGCACGCUACAUGUAAUAAAGGUUUUGAGGAGAGAAAAAAAUAUGUUUCACUCAACCAAUAUAUCCAAAACAUUAUCAUUUCAAUAUAUAAUCAUAUAAAAAUUAUUAAUGAGGUAUUUUAUAUUCUGGUUUUUGGGUGUUUUGUUUUUUCUAACAAAUCUUCAAAACUCAGUAUAAUUUAUACUUCUAGAACAUCUCCAUUUAGACCAGCUGUAUUGCAAGUUCUCAAUAGCCACAUGUGGCUGGUGGCUACUAUGCUGGACAGUAAUGAGACCCUUCCAUCCCACAAACUUUUUUUUUUAAUAAUGUUCAUUUAUUUUGAAGGAGAGAGAGAGAGCAUGAGCAGCAGAGGGGCAGAGAGAGAGGGAGACACAGAAUCCGAAACGGGCUCCAGGCUCCAUGCUGUCGCACAGAGCCCGAUGUGGGGCUUGAACCCAUGGACGGUGAGAUCAUGACCUGAGCCGAAGUCAGAUGCUCAACUGACUGAGCCACCCAGGCGCCCCCACAAACUUUCUGAUUAAUUGAGAUUCCGUGGUUUUGAACUCAAAGAAGGCAUUAUUAAUUUACCUUGACCUGGGCUUCUGGGCACAGAUGACAAAGCUCAUGUUAAUAAUGUGCUAACGAGCUACACCCUGGGGUUCUCCCUGGAGUAUUCCUGCUUCUGUUCUGUUUUGCAGACACAGCCAGAGUGAUCCCUAUAAAGUCUAAAUUAGAUACCAUCACUUCUCUGCUCAGAACCUUUCCACGACUUCCUAGCUCAGUCUUCUCAUGGCUUACAAGGCCCCACACAGUAGAGCCCCUGCCUACAUUUCUGUCUCAUUUCCUGCCAUUCCUGCCUGUCCCUCAUUUGCUCAGCCACACCAUUUGUUGCUGUUGCUUGACCUUGCCAGCACACUCUUGCCCCAGGGACUUUGCACUUGCUCCUCCCCUUCUGCCCAGAACACUAUCCCCCCACAACUUCCCAGGGUUUACCCUGCACUUUCUGCACAAAUGUCACUCAUCAGAGGAGCCUUCCCUGGCCAUUCUAUACACUUGCCCUUAAAGAGGGUUUCUCUUGAGGCCCCCUUCUUGUCAUCCUGCAUCCCCACCCGCUUACUACCUGCCUUAUUGCUUUUCAUGGCACUUGCUUAUUUACUAGUUAAUUUUCUGUCUUCCCCAGCCCCACCCUACUAAAAUGUGAGUUCUAUGAGGGCAGGGACUUUCUCUGUUUCUUUUGGAGGCACUGAAGCCCCAGCGGCAAUAGUAUCUGGCACAUAGUAGGUGCUUAACAAACACUGGUGAGUAAAGGAAAGAAUCCAACUUGGCAAGAAAUGCUUAUAGGAAUAGGAAUCACAGGCUUUCAUAACAAUAAUAGAUUUAUAUUUAAGAUCCUUAUUUGAGUUCAGUCUUAGAACUAAGCAAGAGUUCUCCUGGUGGUGAGUAACUCACCUGAACAGAAAGGCAACCGCCUCUCAUCCAGGUCCCCCCGUCCAGCUGGGGUCUCUCUCUCCGUGACCUCUUUAUUGCUCUUAUCACUUCUCAGCUGUUACAGGCCUGGAUUAGACACACUGUUUUUAUUUGAUGAACCAUAAACCGACAGUCACCUAACGGUCCUAGAUGUGCUGCUUUGCCAUGUUGCCUGCUUAUAGCACCUCAGAUUGCUUAAAACCAGAUCAAUAAUCUCAGUCAAAGAAUUCCUGUCCCAUGAGUAUCUGACUGCCCUUCUCUUCAUCAGUAUUUAGAUACAUUCCCAUCAGGAGUGGAGGGGGGGGGGGUGGGGGUGGGAAAGGCUCCAUAUUCGUUCUUUAGGUCUCUGGAAUUCACAAUUAUUUUCCUGUCUGGGUUGGGUGUGCACAGACGCAGCCAUCAGCGGCUCCUAGCUCCUUCGUGCCUUUCAGUCUCCUGCGUUUCCUUUGUUCUGCUUUGGGGCAGAUCGAGGGAGCUGCCUCAGAACCCACCAUUUAGUGGGAUUUAUAAAAAGCCCUCCUGCAUUAACUCUGUAAGGUUGUGUAGUAUCUACUCUAAUUAGUCUAUAUUCUCACAGGCUCCCCCCACCCCGGCCCCCAGGGCCUACGGCACAGAGCUGUGAAGUCACUGGUCAGGGGUGGAAUGAGACCAGUGGCCACGGGGUGGAUGACGUCACCAGGAUCCAACCUGAACGUCCCCCAAAUGCGCCAAAGACAUCAUGUUCUCACCGGGUGAACCGUGAGAACUGUAACCCAGCGGGCCUCUGAUGUGUUAGCUGUGACAUUGGACCAGUGUGAGCCCACAGAGGUCUGCACGCUUGGAACUACUCAGAGGGAUCGUUAGGAAACACAGCCGCAAAUGCUGCCACUCAACCCAGCUUCAGCGCGUGAUGAAGCGUGUGCUCCAGGGAGGUGCGGAAGAGAGCGUCUUCUUCUUGAUAAGCGUUCUUACUUUACAGUGACAGAGUAGAGUNAACGCCCCCCAAAUGCGCCAAAGACAUCAUGUUCUCACCGGGUGAACCGAGAGAACUGUCACCCAGCGGGCCUCUGAUGUGUUAGCUGUGACAUUGGACCAGUGUGAGCCCACAGAGGUCUGCACGCUUGGAACUACUCAGAGGGAUCGUUAGGAAACACAGCCGCAAAUGCUGCCACUCAACCCAGCUUCAGCGCGUGAUGAAGCGUGUGCUCCAGGGAGGUGCGGAAGAGAGCGUCUUCUUCUUGAUAAGCGUUCUUACUUUACAGUGACAGAGUAGAGUAAACGCACAGUGAAUUCUCACUAGUUGUAGGACAAACCUAAAAAAUCUUUUUAUAUAAGGACAUAGAAAAAUGUAAUGGCCACAGGCCAUGAGAAACAGCCUGUCAGGAUUAAGCAGAUUAUUCAGAAUUUAUUUGAAGCUGUGAGAGCCAUUCCUUUUUUGCACAGCUGAGUCAUGGUGUAAUUGUCAGACAUUCUGUGAGCACACUGAGCAAAUUUCUCCCUGCUAUUCUCUAUCCUAUAUGCUGUUUGUUUCUUUAAUAGUAGUAAUUAUAGGGGCGCCUGGGUGGCUCAGUUGGUAAGGCGUCUGACUUCGGCUUAGGUCAUGAUCUCGCGUUUUGCAAGUUCGAGCCCCCUGCCAGGCUCUGUGUGGACAGCUCAGGGCCUGGAGCCUACUCCAGAUUCUGUAUCUCCCUCUCUCUCUGCCCCUCCCCUGCUCACACUCUGUCUCUCUCCCUCCCCCAAAUAAAUAAACAUUAAAAAAAUUUUUUUAAAUCAUAGUAAUUAUACAUUUAUUUGUUUUUUUUUGUUUCUUACCUGUAUCCCUGACAAGAGUAUAAAGUCCACAAGGCAACAGAACAUUACGUAUUUUAUUCACCAGUGUGUACCCAAGAACAAGUACCAUACCUAGCCCCUGGAAGUUUUUAAAAAUAUUGACCACUAAUAAUAUAAAUUGAAUGAAUAGAUCAGUGUCAGUCUUUCAACAACAUGUUUCAACAAAACGGCCAAAUCAAGAUAAAACAUUGUCCACAAGUCACUGUUGUAGAUAUCAAUUUCCAAAGUGUAAACUAUUUUUGAAAGAGAUAAUCAACUAAUCCAAUCCAGGAGUUAAAGCAUGUUAAUUCUUGAGAACAAAGUGAUUCCAACUAGGCGAACAGUGAUUUGUGUUUCAGAAUUUUAUAUUCAUGUAAUGCAGGUGUCCCCCACUAUCUGAAAGUAGAGUGUUCUGGUGAAACUUUCAUAGGCCCAAAUGGCAUAAAGCCCAGUGUAUCUGCUGCUAAUUUAGGUCUUUCUUAAAAGUCGAGUGGUCUUUCCUAAACUUUCAGAAGGGAGGGGAUACCUGUAUUGAUUUAUUAAAGUUCACAAACUUUGUCAAGUUUUACCCAGAGAGAACUGGAGCAUGAGGACGCUGGCUUAACACGGUCCGGGAAUGUGAGUAAGGAUUGACCUACAGCUCAGUAAUGGGAGGCUCUGCCUGCCAUGUUAGGACCCUAAGCGCCAUUCACUUCACGUCCACAGAUAUUGAUCCGUGACUUACAGUGCUCCAGGUAGCAUGAUGGGAAUUAGACGCCGUUCUUGUAUUCAAUGGACCCAUAGUCUGUCAGAGGGAGAUAAGCUUGAUGACGUUGACAAGCACACACAUAGGAAUAUGGUCGCUGUGCUUUAGUCACUCAGAAGAGAGGUGGCUUGUUUCCCUGGUGUGCUGGGGACACUUCCCACCGGAGGUGGCCGUGGGGGUCAGCCCCUGAAGAGCCCAUGUUAUGGCCCUGGCACCUGCUAUUUCCACCCCCGGAAUAGAUCCUGGCCCUAGAUUUUCCAAACCCCCUCACACCACCUCAGAUUACCCCCUCAGUCACUAUUUCUCUGUUUUCUUCUUGGCACUUAACAUUAUCUGAAGUUAUCUUGAUGUUUUUUGGUUUCCUUAUUUGGUGUCUGUCUUAUCCUUCAAGUACAUAAGCUCUGUGAGAGCAGGAACCUAGUUUUCAUUGUGCAUUAGUGUAUGCACAGGGGCUAGAAAAGUGUCUGAGACAUAGAAGGAAACCAGUAAAUGCUUGUGGAGGGAUGGAAGGGCGUAGUAGCAUGAAGGAGCCAUUGGAGCUUCUUGAUUGUGAGAUGACAUGAUGAAAUUGUUCUGGAAAAGCCAUUCUGGCAGUUGGUUGAAGAUGAAUUGUGUGGGACAUAGACUUGGGACAAGAACAAUGAGGAGAUUCCUGCAGUAAGUUAGAUGUGAGUGCUACAGGUCAGGAAAGGGUUGUGGCAGGAGGAAAAACAUGUUGAAUCCAAGGCAUAUGUUGAGAGAAGAGACUCCACUCACUCUGGCCUGCCUUUUCAUCUUACAGACACAGCUCAUUCCCACCUCAGCUUUGUGGUUCUCCCCUCUUCCUACCGCCCCCCUUCCCCAGAUCUUUGCUUUUUUUUUUUUUUGAGAGAGAGAGAGAGAGAGAGAGAGAGGGAGAGAAUCUUAGGCAGGUUCCACACUCAGCAUGGAGCCCAAUGUGGCGCUCACCCCCACAACCCUGGGAUCAUGAACUGAGCUGAAAUCAAGAGUUGGAUGUUCAACUGACUGAGCCACCCAGGCAGCCCCAGGUCUUUGCAUUGUAUUUAGGUUUCUGUUAAUAUAUCAGAAGUUCUUUAUUUAGAGAGUUCUUUCCUGACCCCCUUAAGCAUCCCCACACUAUACCCUGGUUUUGAUUUUCUUCUAGCAUGCUUACCCCCUGUCAUUUACAUUAUAUAUACUACGUGACAUUACACAUCACAAGGACGUUCCUUGAGGCCAGGGGGCAAAAACUCCAUCUGCCUUGUCUACCACUGUAUCUCUAAUGGAUGACACAUCACAGGGGCUCAACACGUAUUUGCUGAGUGAAUAAAUAGAUUAGAUUGAGUAUGAUGGUGAUUAAUGAGAGAACCUAUCAAGGAAGACCUGAGUCACUAGGAAAUUAAAAUAACAAAAAUAGAGAGCUUUCCAUUAAGACAGACUCCGCUAAGCCUCUAUGUUGCCGCAUCGAACAGUACCUGACACAUAAUAGGCCCACACAAUAGACUGAUUUAAAGUGAAUGAAAGAACACUUGUUUGCUCUUCCAGUUACUGUAUUGAGAAACCAAUAAAAAUGAUGUCCUCAGUGAAGAACUUUCUUUCUUCAGAGAUUUGACUAAUUCAUACUGGUUCUCGCACUGUUUUAUAUGUACCAGUAAAGCUUUGCUGGAUUAAACUAAACCAUUCGUAUCACUGAUUCAUGGUUGCCCUGGGAAUUACAGUGAACAUCUCAUAAUACUCUAGUGUGAAUAAAUGACAACUUACUUUUAAAAGUAUAUAAAACUUUGCUCCUUUAUAGCCUCAUUCUCUCCCCCUCCUUCACAGUUAUUGUCAUAAAAAUUAUGUUUUUAUGCAUUUUUCACCAAUCAACACAGAUUUAUACUUAUUGUUUUAUAGAGUUGUCUUUUAAAUCAAAGAGGAGAAAACAAGUUACAAACAAAAAAAUACAUCUAUACUGUCUUUCAUAUUUGCAACGUCAUCGUUACCAGUUUAUUUCUCCAUAUGGAUUCAAGUUAUUAUCUAGAGUACUUUCACCUAAGCCUGAAGGAAGGAUUCCCUUUAAUAUUUUUUGUAGGGCAGGUUUGCUACUGACAAAUUCUCUCCAUUUUUGUUUAUCUUGGAAUGUCUUAAUUUCUCUUUCAUUUUUAAAAAACGUUUAUUUAUUGUGUGAGAGAGAGAGAGUGCAAGCAGAGGAGGGGCAGAGAGAGAGAGAGAGAGGGAGAGAGAGAAUCCAAGCAGGCUCUGCACUGUCAGCACAGGGCUCAAUCCCACAAACCCAUGAGAUCAUGAUCUGAGCUGAAAUCAAGAGUUGGACAUUUAACCGACUGAGCUACAGGUGCCCCUCGCUUUCAGUUUUGAAGGGUAGUUUUGCUAGACAUAGAAUUCUUGUGGCAGUCUUUCUGUCAGUACUCUGAAUAUGCCACCCCACUGCCUUGUGGCCUCCUUGGUCAUGGAUGAGAAAUCAGCUGUCAAUCUUAUCGAGACUCCCUUACACAUGAUAAGUCCCUUUUCUCUUGCUGCCUUCAAGAUUUUCUCUUUGUCUUUAGCAUUCAGCAGUUUGAUUAUGAUCUAAAUGUUAAUCUCUUUCUGUGUAUCCUACUUGGAGGAUCUUUCUUUCUUUCUUUCUUUCUUUCUUUCUUUCUUUCUUUCUCUUUCUUUCUUUCUUUCUUUCUUUCUUUCUGUUUUUAGCUUCUUGGAUGUGUAGAUUGUUUUUCAUGAACUUUGGGAAGUUUUCAGUCAUUAUUUCUUCAAAUAUUUUUUCUAUCUCUUUUUGUCCUUUUCUGGAACCAUCAUUAUGCGUAUUUUGGUAUGCUUGAUGGUGUUCCACAGGUCACUGGGAGUUCUGUUCAUCUUUCUUUUUUUUUUUUUUUUUUUUUCUUUUCCUCAGACUGUAUAAUCUCAAUUGACGUAUCUUAAAAUUUAUUGCUUCUUUCUUCUGCCAGCUUAAAUAUGCUGUUGAACUCCUGUAAUGAUUUUUUACAUUUCAUUUUUUAUAUUUUUUAACUUCAGAGUUCCUAUCUGGUUCUUUCUUAUAAUUUCUAUCUAUUUAUUUGGUAAGACAUCCUUCUCAUACUUGCUUUUAGUUCUUUAGACAUAGUUUUUUUUAGUUCUUUGGGCACAUUUAAAAUAGCUGAUUUGAAAUCUUUGUCUAGUGUAAGUCUAAUACCUUGGCUUCCUCAGGGACAGUUUCUAGUGACUGUUUCUUCCCCCUGAAAAAAGGCCAUAUGGGCCAUAUGUUCCUGUUUCUUUGCAUGUUUUAUAUUUUUUUUAUUGAAAAUUGGACAUUUAAAAAAUAUAAUUUGGUAGUUUUGGGAACCAUUGUAUCCCCUCUCAGCAUUUGUUGUUGCUGCCGAUUUGGUUAGUAGCUUUUCCGAACUAAGUCUGGAGUUUAAUUCUGUAUACUUUGUCAUGUAUGGCCACUGAAGUCUCUGCCCAUUUAGUGUUGUGGUCAGUUAAUGAUUGGAUAGAAAUUUCAUUAAAAUGUGUGGGACUAAUAAGUCUGCCGAGGAGCCCUGUGUGAGUAUUUGGGGGCACACCUUCAACAUUUGGAUAGGCAGUUUCCAACUCUUAGUCUUCACUUCCUGCUUGCGUGCAGGCUCACCGUCAGCCAGAGGUGAGAAUUUAGGCCCUUUCUCAGGUCUUUCCUGAGGUUUAUGGCCCUGGGCAUGCACGAAGCCUUCUAGAUUCCCAGGAAUAUAUGAAAGCUUUUCAAAGUUCCCUAUAGAUGUUUCACUCCCCAGCUUUUUCUUUAAAGCUUUUUGGUCAGCCUGUUUGACCCAGCUGUUAUCUGCCACCUUGGGCAGCUGUAAUGUUUUCAGCUAAUGCUUCUGGGGAAAGGGCUCUUCAUAGUGGGUAAGUUCCAAGUCAGUCCAAAUAAAGACGGUUUUGUGAGUGGGGUCUUCUAAGAACCACCAGAGAGAUCAAAUAUUGCCAGUUCUCUGAGAAUAGAAAUUUAAAGGAGCCCCAGCUCCAUUCUGCCCCCUCCAGUGGUUGCAAGGAUGCUGGUUUUCACCGUGCUUGAGGGUCGUUGGUUAUCAAGGCUACUUUUGGGUUGGGGAGGCGAAUUGGAGAUAGAGCAAGUUAAAAUGUCACAAAGCUUGUCAGUCUUGCUGAGAUUCAGCCUUUUUUCUUUCUUUCUUUUUGAGAGAGCACAUGCAUGUGGAGGAGGGGCAGAGAGAGAGAAUCCCAAGUAGGCUCCACACUGACAGUGUGAAUUUUUACAUUUCAUUUAUAUUUCACUGACAGUGUGGAGCCCUAUGCGGGGCUUGAUCUCACGAACUGCGAGAUCAUGACCUGAACCGAAACCAAGAGUCAGACACUUAACUGACCGAGCUGCCCAGGCACCCCUCAGCCUUUUUUUCUCAAAUAAACUCUUCUCAGAUUGCCGUAACUCUUUGACUAAUUUCCAGAGUUGUGAGAAAGUAGAUUCUGACAAUUUUUGCAAGUGUUCUCACUGCUUUUAUUGAGAUUUUUCAGAGGCCCACUCUCUGCCAGUUUUGCUGCUAUCCCUCCACAGAUUCUUUCAGUGCAAUUUAUCCUUUCCUUGACAUAAACUACUAUUUUCGAAAUAUUGACCACCUAAAGCCACAAAGUGUUUAGAUUUAUUCUAAAUUUUCAGGAACUGAGUUUUCUGAGACAAACGUUUACUUGUAUAAAACUACCAAGGAAACAAGGCAAUUUAAGUAGGUACAAACAGAAAGCCACAGAGAAAAGAUAAAUUGUUCGUGGCUGUCUACAACUUUCACCAUUACUUAUGUCUUUUUGCUUUUUGUUUUAGCAUGGACCUGGUUACUUUGAAAAUACCUGGUUAAGGUUCACCUGUGUGUCUGUUUCCCAUCUCCUCCCCGGGCUUGGGUAAGCUUGAAACAGUGUAAGACUGAAGCAGUCUUCAGCAGCCCCUUCACUGUUGGCCAUCUUUGUUGUAUUAGUCAGCUUGGGCUGCCAUAAUAAAAUACCACAGACUAAAUAACAGGAUGGCUUAAAACAGAAUGGCUUACUGGCAGAAAUAACAGCAAUUGACUUUCUCAUAGUUCUGGAAGUUUGAUGUCCCAGAUCAAUCAGUGCCAACAAGUUUGGUUUCUUCUGAGGUCUCUCCUUGGCUUGCAGAUGGCCACCUUCUUUUUUUAUUUAUUAUAUUAUAUUAUAUUAUAUUAUAUUAUAUUAUAUUAUAAUUUAUUUAAAUUCAAGUUAGUUAACAUACAGUGUAGUAUUGGUUUCAGGAGUAGAACCCAGUGAUUCAUCACUUAAAUAUGACACCCAGUGCUCAUCCCAAGUGCCCACCUUAAUGCCCAUUUAGCCCAUCUUCUUAUUAUGUCCUCCCAUGGCUUUUCCUCUGAUCACAUAGGCUCCUUCCUAUAAGGACACCAGUCCUAUUGGAUUAGGGCCCCAUACUUGUGACCUCAUUUAAUCCUAAUUACUUCCUCAAGGUCCUGUCUCCAAAUACAGUCACAAUGGGGGUUAGGUUUCAACAUAUGAAUACUGGUGUAGCGGGAGGAGGAGGGGGCACAAUCCAAUCUGUAACAAGUGUCCAACAUGCAAUAAGUAGGUUCUCCAUAAACAUUUCUAUUGAUGAUAUGCAUCCUCUUUUGUCCCGUGUCCUUUAUCCCUCUGUGACACGUCCCAAACUAGGCACAGUGGCUUCUGGUCUAUUGGGAGAGCAGCACUGUGUGGAGCUUCCAGAGAAAUCUCAAUGCCACAGUUCAAAUCCCCACUCUGGUACCAACUAGGUCAGUUAACUCACUUUCUCUGACUUUUGUAUUCUCGGGUGCUUUGGCUCUAUUCUCUUUCACUUCGCUCUACCCUCUAGGCCCUAGACUUUAUACCGACUCCUACUCUAAACCGUCUUUACUUCAGCCUCUGUGUAGCACAUCUAGGGGUCCACUAGUAAAAUAUAUCCUGGUACAUGCACUGAUUAAACACUCCUGAGUGGUCUCCAUCUCCAUCUGGGUAACAUAUGUGUUUUCAGAGAUGCUGUCCCUGCUAUGGCUGCUCAGGCAAGAGUGGCAUUAGCAUUGCUGGGCAAUGUAGUUCAGGAGGGAAGGGAAGGUGCAGUGUGGGCUAGUGGCGAGAUAACAAGGGGUAGACCAGAAGCUGGGAGUCCCCUCACAUAUACUUACUUCACCAACUUUCGCCGAGAAUCUGCUUUGUUCUGGGCGCUGUGCAAAGUGAUGGGCCAGAGCUCCUAUCAGUGGCUUCUCUGACCAAAGGAUUGGACUUGGCAUAAACUACAGCACUGUAGUGGAAAAAAUAGCCUGAAUUUAAGUCUUGGGUUUAUUGUUUAUUUCUUUCUGACCAUAGACAAGCCACUUCGUUUCUCAGAAUCUUAGUUAUUCCAGAUUUAUUUAUUUAUUUAUUUAUUUAUUUAUUUAUUUAUUUGAGUUUAUGUAUUUAUUUUGAGAGAGAGAGAGAAAGGAAGAGAGUGAGGAAGGGGCAGAGAGAGAGAGGGAGAGAGAGAAUCCCAAGCAGGCUCCACAACACAGGGUUAAAUUCACCAACUGUGAGAUCAUGACCUAAGCUGAAAUCAAGAGUCAGAUGCUCAACCAACUAAGCCAUCCAGGUUCCCCUAAGUUAUUCUGUUUUUAUUUUUUUAUUUUACUACUGUUUUUAAUAUUUCUUUAUUUUUGACAGAGAGAGAGAGAGGCAGAGAGAGAGGGAGACACAGAAACCAAAGCAGGCUCCAGGCUGUGAGCUGUCAGCACAGAACCCAGCAGGGGAUUGAACUCAUGAAUCCUGAGAUCAUGACCUGAGCUGAAGUCAGAUGCUUAACUGACUGAGCCAGCCAGGUGGCCCAGUUAUUCCAUUAUUAAAAUAACGGAUGGGUCAGGUGAUCUAUAUGCUUAGUUCUACCAUGUUGGCUCUCAUCUUCUAGAAUUCUCUACUGGGAGUGUGGAUUCUGCCUAAGGAAGAAUCUGUAUCUUUAAUGUUGAUUUCAGCACAUGGCCACUCCAGCUGGGAUGAUGGGAGGAGAGAGAUACAUACAAGCGGUUAAUGUUUGGGGGAGAAAGUUAACCCUACAGUUCAUUCAGAAAACAUGGAAGUGAACUUUUAAAGGAACCAAAUGUUUGCAUUCUUAUGCUAUCCUUCGAUGAUAUUAUUCACGAAUAGCUCACAUACGGUGAGAAAGAACUCACCUUCACAGUUUAGGCAAAGAGAGGUCCAUUGUGGGUUAUUAAUCCUAAAGAAAUUCAUAGUAAAUGCAGACUUAAGAGGCAAAACUCUCGUUUGCCCAGUGUCACAGAUGAAGUAUCACAUGUUGAUGUGUUGCAAUGCAGGAGCCAUGUUUUGUUAGCUUCCCUAUUCCUAGCACCAGGCUGCACAGAAUGGACAUUCGAUGGACACAAUAGUCCUUGUUCUCCAAAUGGAAUUUUCUUCACCUUACCUGCUGAAAAAGAGAGGUAAAAUCAAGACCCAAUUUUAAUACUGACUUUGUCCCUUAAAUUGUUGGAGAACUGGAUUUCAUUAUUUUCAACAAAUUCAGUGGAAAUUGUCCUCACCUUUGGAAUAAACAAUUUAAGCCUUUGGCUCCCCAGAGCCUCGUGUUCAGUCUAACCGCCUUGGUGGCAGCCUUCAGGGACAGCUUGUAUGUCUGAGGGUGGCAGCAGAUAACAAGAGGGAGGAGGCUCAGGCUGCUGGCUAGAGCUGGAUUCACGGUCAGGCUCUGUCACUCACAAUUUGUAACCCCGGCAAGGUGUUAAUCUCUCGAAGUUCACUUUCCUUAUCUGUCAAAUGGGGAUGAUACUGUCACCUACCUCACAGAGUCACUAUGAAGAUCAAUUUUAAAAAGGCCGGAAAGUAUACAGUGGCUGGCAUGCAAGUUAAAAGCACAGAAAAUCUUAGCUUGAAGAACUGACAGUAAUGGACAGGAAGAACUUUUCUAUUUCUUUUAUUUUUUCAAGAUCCACACAGCCUACUAUAAUAAUAAUUGUUAUUAUUAUAUUUUUAUAACUAGUUUUAAUAGCAUGAUUAUUUUUAUAAUUAUUUUAAAUAUUAUUGUCGUAUUUGGGGACUUUAAGCCUUUGUACUUUAACAUAAUUGAGAAACUUGGAUGCUUGUGAACUAUGGGUACUCAACCAACCUGGGAAGUCAUUAGUUUGUCUUUUAGGUGUCCUUUUAGAAAGUCUCAUAAACCACCAUCUCUUAUCAUUGGGGUGCUUACAAAGGUCGGAAAAAACAAGUCAAAAGAUAGAUGCAGUCAAAGAAGGUCAGAAAAAGAAAAUACCAAUAAGAGCCUUAAUUCUUUUAAAGAACAUUUACUCUCAUCUCAUACAUUUGUGUUUAUAAACAGCAGCAUAUUCUCUAUGAAAUAAUGCUUAAAAUCGUUGAGGAUUUACAUGUAAUUUCUUCAAAGCCUUCCCAGGAAAUAAAACAUAAAUAAGUUUUUGAUACUGAUAUAAAUAUUUUUAAAGUCUUUCCAAACCAGUGAACCUAAACACUUCCUUUCUUUGUGCCUUGCCCGCCUUCCUCCUUCAAAUGAGUACUGUUGUUAUCUUUAGAUCCCAACGGUGCUUUGGAUUUAUGUACUGAUGAUUAGAGAGUAAAAUUUUAAGAGUCUUCUCUCUAAAGUUUUUAGAAAUACAGUAGUCUUCCUUAUCCACAGGGAUAUAUUCCAACACCCCCAGUGGGUCCUCAAAAUCAUGGGUAGUGCUGGGGCGCCUGGCUGGCGCAGUCGGUUAAGCGUCCGACUUCAGCCAGGUCACGAUCUCGCGGUCCGUGAGUUCGAGCCCCGCGUCGGGCUCUGGGCUGAUGGCUCGGAGCCUGGAGCCUGUUUCCGAUUCUGUGUCUCCCUCUCUCUCUGCCCCUCGCCCAUUCAUGCUCUGUCUCUCUCUGUCCCAAAAAUAAAUAAACGUUGAAAAAAAAAAUUAAAAAAAAAAAUCAUGGGUAGUGCUGAACCCGACAUAUACUAGGUUUCUUCCUAUACAUACCUACCUAUAAUAAGGUUUAAUUGAUAAAUUAGGUACAUUAGAGAUUAACAACAGUAAUAAUAAAUAGGCAAUUAUAAUAAUAUAACUGUAAUAAAAGUUAGGUGAAUGUGGUCUCUUUCUCUCUCAAAAUACCUUUUUGUAAAAAAAAAAAAACAAAAAAAAAUAAAAAUACCUUUUUGUGUUAUAUUCAUGUUUCUUGAGAUGAUAGGAGGUGAUAAAAUGCCUACGUGAGGAGAUGAAGUGAGGUGAAUGGUGUAGGUGUUGUGACACAAUGUUAGGCUACUACCGACCUUCUGAUGAUAUAUCGGGAGGAUUACCUACUUCCAGAAACUGCAAAUGAUGGGAAACUACUGUAUUUUAAACCACUACAGCCAGGUAAAGAGAGAUUGUCUGAAAAUCAAGCUAGCUUUGCCUCAAAUUAUCAGAAAUUUAGUGAGCACUGAUUCCUUUAGAAUCCCCAAAGAAAUCUUUUUUUUUUUCUCCCAAAGAAAUCUUAAGCAGGGUCGCGGUGAUCUUGGAGAAGGGAGAAAAAUAUGAGCUAUGUGCUAGAGAAAGGUUUUGGUCAAAAUUCUAUUAAAAACAGGAAGGUUAAUCUGCCAGGACCUGAUUAAGCUUCAUUGGAUCAAAUACACAGCUCAUGAUUACCAUUUUUUCUAGAGAACUUUGGGGGUAAGAAAUGAAUGACCUGAUAUCUACACUUGUUGAGAUGCCAGAGAUUGAAGUCACAAUAACCUGGAGUUGAGUGAGGUGUCCUAGCUGCUCUAUUUGCAGAGGAUUUUUCCAUGGACCAGAGGCUUCUCUGAAGUUUACAUACAUGUACAACUUCCUGUGUCCACUCCCUGCAGACCCGAGGCCUCCCUCAUUAUCUGGGACUCCAGAUCUCACCCACCUUGUAACAGUUACACUCACAAUUUUUCCUGAGUCAGGGGACGGGGUCAGUGAAAGCACAGAACAAGACUAGAGGUCUAAGUAAAUGAAAUGACCCUGCUAUUUUCUUUCCCUCUGCUGGCAUAGCCUUCUCCUGAGUGUCUCACUCAAAUAUGGGAUUGGUUGUUGUUGUUGUUGUUGUUGUUUUUAAUUUUUUUUUUAACGUUUAUUUAUUUUUUUGAGAGACAGAGACAGAGCAUGGGCUGGGGAGGGAACAGAGAGAGAGGCGGAGUCACAGAUUCCGAAGAAGGCUCCAGGCUCCGAGCUGUCAGCACAGAGCCUGAUGCAAGGCUCGAACUCAUGAACCACGAGAUCAUGACCUGAGCCGAAGUCGGGUGCUUAACCGACUGAGCCACCCAGGCCCCCCCAAAUAUGGGAUUGUUUUUAAAAAACGUCUCAAGCCAGACAAUAACCUUUGGUUCACAGUGAAUGGACCAAAUGCCCAUCAGUAAUAGAAUGAUUAAUCUGAGCCGUGUUCAACACAGUGGGAUGCAUUGCAGUGGUUAGAAGGAGCCACCUGCUCCUUCAAUAUGGGUGACUCUCAUAAACCACAAUAUGGGUGACUCUGAUAAACAUGGCAUUAAGUGAAAGAAGCCAGGCACUAUAGGGUAUACGCUAUUUUCUUUCUUUUAUAUAAAACCCAGAAACAGGCAAACUAAUCAGGUAGGUCUCCCUUUGGGGAAGGAGGUAUAGGAGGGCCUUCUGGGGUGCUGGUGAUAUAUUUUUUUUAACAUUUAUUUAUUUUUGAGAGACAGAGAGAGAGAGUGUAAGUGGGGGAAGGGCAGAGAGAGAGAGAGGGAGACACAGAAGCCGAAGCAGGCUCCAGGCUCUGAGCUGUCAGCACAGAGCCUGACACGGGGCUCAAACCCAUGAACCUGAGCCGAAGUCAGACACUUAACUGACUGAGCCACCCAGGUGCCCUGAUACUCUGUUUUUUGUUGUUGUUAUAGUUCUGAGUGCUGGUCACAUAGCUGUGUUCUUUGUUAAAAUUCACUAACCUGUACACUAAUAACACAUGCCCCUGAUGUAUUCGUAAUUUCAUUAAAAAGCUUUUUAAAAUGAUAUAUGGAAGGGUGCCUGGGUGGCUCAGUCGGUUGAGCAUCUGACUUUGGCUCAGGUGAUGAUCUCCUGGUUCACAAGUUGGGUUUCUUAGAGUCGCCAAAUUUUAGAGGGCAGCUGAGGUAGAACAGAUGUGAGGGUGCUGGGGCACAGGUCACACAAAGGCCUUUUGAGCAUCGAAAUGCUUGUAGUUCUGUGAGUGUUCUAUUUGUUCUUUGUUUUUAUACUGAUUGGUUGUUUUAUACUGAUUGGUAGAUGAUCGCUGUUGUCCCAUGAGUUUUAACAAACAAGAAAGAAAAGCAAAUAAAUGAAUUGAGCAAUAGAGGCAUCUUUUGUUAAAAUAUUUGGAUUUUGUCCUCAGUUCUUGAAAUAGCUUCAGAGUAAUAAAUGUGAGGUGGAUAUUUUUUGUUAUUCAUAACAAACCCUUGUUAACCACAUCUGUGUUUAUGUUAAUGGAGUGACUUUUGGAAAGCCCCUAGGUCACCACUGGAUGGGGACUGGUUGCCAAGAGAACCAGUUAUGAUUAGAAGGUUGGAACUUCCCAUGUGGGAAGGGGAGACAGGCUGGAGGUUGAAUUCAUCACCAAUGGCUAAUGAUUUGAUCAAUCAUGCCUAUGGAAUGACGCCUCUAUAACAAGCCCAAAGGACAGGGUUUAGGGAGCUUCCAAGUUGGCUAGGAAGGUGGCACACUGGGAGAGGGCAUAGAAACUCCACACCCCUUCCCACAUACUUUGUUCUCUGCAUCUCUCCCAUCUGGCUUUCCUGAGUUAGACCUUUGGCUUUGAGUGUCCCUCUCUUGCAACCCUGGCUCAGAAGUCUUCUUUGGUACCUGAAAUUGACUUCAAAGCAGAGCUAGAGAGUUCCUCCCUGUAUGACCAGGGCUCCUGUAUCAAAAGCCAGAUUAAGCCUAUUCAUUUUGUGUGACCUCUCAAGCUAGCACCUUGCUUAGAUUUCAUCCUACACAAAGACCUACGAUUCAUUGAAGACCGAAAACACUUCAUGGUUUUUCCAAAUCUGCCCCCUGGUAUAUGAAACAAAUUUCAUGCAAAACGAGAUAAUUUCUCAGGAUGCUUGCCUUUCCAAUGCACAUUGCCAAAAACUGGCACUGUCUUGGUUAGCGAGAGCACGGGGGUCAUCUACAUUAAACACCAUACCCUUGUGUGCUUCUGCUGAAGGGUCUGCCUUAGCCAUAUCUGGUACGCAGGAUCCUCUUUCUCUCCAUCCCCACCCCCCAAGGCACUUGUGCAGCCAUAGAAAAUGGCCUGGGAUGGGCUGUUGACCCAGGGUCAUGCAUAGUCUGUCUAGCUCAAAAUAAUGAGCUCAUCCCAGGAAUUUCAAUGAAAAAUAUCGAGAGGAUGAGUUAGCACCAGGAGCUGAAUCACAAAGGGACAUAUUCAGGAGUGGAUGAAGCCAGGACCAUGCAGGGCCCAUGGUCAUGACAUCCAAAGUUUGGGGCGAGGAGGAGUGACACCCUAAGCACCAGCCAGGAGGAAAAAUAAGACUGAACAAGCGGGAAAGAACACGGCAGAAGGUGGAAGAGCAGGAAAAGAGUAGCUGAGAAUAUUUCCUGAAUAUUCUUUCUUUUCCUGCGUUUCUGUGCACUCCUUAGAAUAAGGAAUAAACGUCCGUUCUUUGUAUGUGACCUGGAUAAAUAUCUAUGUCUUGCAUCCAAAGCCCAGAAAAGUUGGAGCAGAUGCACACACUGCUCCCUUCUUUCCGCCCAGUGAUUGGGAGCAGGUGUGGAGGAAUCCCAGAUUAUUCUUGUUAUGGAUUUUCGGUGCUGAUAGGGCUUGCUAACUCAUCAGUGACCCUACAAACUUUCCAGGCCUCAGAUGGACAGGUCUCUAAAUUACAAGACUAAAUAAUUAUACCUCACUGAGUUUCCUCAUUCCCGGCUCCCUUCCAGUUUAUAGACAGGGCCCUCCUUCCGGGUGAGAAAUGGCUUGGGGGAAUAAAGGUCAUUGAUUCUCAUGGCUUUUCUUCCUGUGAUUUGUAAGGAGGGGGAGGAAGGAAUUCCUGAAGAAGGCAUUUUGCAUUUCUGUACAAGAAGAAACUAGAAAAAGUCCAUCACCUUGCAGCACUGACUAUUCUUUGAUUUUGCAUGAUCAUGCCGUUAGGCAUUAAAAGAAAAAAGGCCCAAGCAGCAGUGCUGAAUUUUAGGGCACUCCUAGCUCAUCUGGUGCUUGCUGUUUAGACUGGAUGGUUCUGGGCGGGAUGGAUGCAAACUUCAUCCCUGCAACCGAACGGUGGGGGUGCCCACAUCAGCCCGAGGGCAGAACUGCCAGAUCCCGGACUGUGUCUCCCCAGUGUGCCUGUCACCGGUCUGUCUUCCAAGCGGGGCUUUAUUGCACAAAUGAAUGCUUUAUGGCUUUUUUGCACUUGGAAGUUCACUGAAGGUUGAUUGAUUCAGUUAGUUGCUCUUAAAAAGAGUUCUCUCAUUGUAAACUUGCUUUGUGAGAUGAAUUUAAAACAAGCCAGGCUGAUCUGACUAGCUCUGCCUCUCUCCUUGUCUACCGCCUGAGAAGCAUUUGAAGCUGUUUGCCGAGGAAAUCGUUUUCUUCAAACGUUCAUUCCUUUCCGUCUUGUGGAUAAUCGGACUGUUAAGGCCCCACCGCUUGCUGCUUUCCACCUGUAAAAGCAAUUGGAAUCUGGGCUGUGGGCUGAAGCAGUUAACAGGGUGUCCCCUCCACUCUGGGGAGAGGCCCCCUGAAUGGGAACAGUCCAGAAAUUCCUAACUGCCAGGCUACUGCAGGUGCCCUCCUAACUUGAGGCGCUCUGACUUAUUUCUCUCACCCCACUUCUGAGAGGCUCAGGAGCCCAGUUCCGUCCCGGAGAGGGGGGCAGCAUGUGGCUGGGACUUAGAAAGGCUUACAGAGAGAAGAAAAGAGUCCCAUGUUUUCCCUGCCAAACAUGAAACAGAGGCCCGCUUGUGCCCCUUCUCUCCGGUCAUCCUGCCUCUGUUCCGGAAUAAUUUGCUCCGUGAAGAGUGGGCAGGGGCCCCAAGUUGCAGCUCCCUCCCCACCCCCACCCCCACCCCCAUAGCUGUUCUUUCAUCCCUGUGGUAAUUCCCAUCCGAGGAAUGUCUCUGGUUUACCUCAGAAUAAACCCCCUUCAGGAAGAAGUGUCCAAACAACCCUCCAAAACAAUAGUGCUGAUGAGCGUGGUGGCAUUCCUUCCCUAGUGGGAAGGGGGAUGGUCCCGAAGAUGAAUUAACCCUGUUGCUAAGCAACCGUCUCUAACCCCAGUCCCAGAUGAGCAAGAUGAGAAAGAACCAGGCCACUGAUUUCCCAGUCUCUGCUCAUUACCAGUCACGGCUUUGUCUGAACUGAGGGCGUGCAGAUGUCCUCGGGCUUGCUCUAGUGGCAAUGCUGGCUUUCAUGACAGAGUGACAAAACAGCCGUGGCCUGGAAGCGGGCUGGGUCACUUCCUGCAGCCCUGAUGAAGUGUCCAAGGCAGCGAGGCUAUGCCAGAGACCAGCCCUGUACAGCGCAGCUCUCUAUACCUUUUCUCAAGCCACACAACCCUGGGCGCUGAGUGCCAGUUACGCUUGACAGAUGAUGGGCUUGAAGCUCAGAGAGAUGCAGCGACUGGGCUAAGGUCGCCCAGGAAGUGAGCAGCUCAUUUACCCGGCUCUGUCUGGGAGAAAGCACGGCGGUCCCCCCACGUCGUCAGCUGCGGUUGCCAGGCUUCUGCCGCACCGCUGGGGAAGAAGAGUGGGGGCAGCCACGCAGGUACUGGUGUUCGUUAUCAGACUAAAUAUUUGCAGAUGAAGAAGGCCUGCGGAGCUGCUCACCAGCCGGUCACGAUGUGAUUUCUUUCUGGUCACACAGCAGCUUACCGUCCGUCCACGUAGUUACGCUCAUCUGGAGUUGAGGGAGAGGCUGAGCCUUCCCCGCUUGGCGCGGGAGGGAUGAAGUCAGGUCUUCCUGGCGGGUGAGGAGUGUUACCCUCUUACUUCCUCUCAAUGCAGCCCCCCAGUCUCUGGGCCAACAGCAACCCCGAGGCCCUGCGACUCGAAUUUACUACACUUUUUCUUCCUGAAAGCUCUUCUCAUCCUCCCAGACUCUUCUCAGUGGAGCCUUCGUGACUGUUCCCCUCCCUGUUCUCAGAGCGCUCUGGGUGACGGGGUGGCCACCGUGGUCCCGCACGCAGGUUCCCGUGAUGGGCGGACGUGUUGCCCGACUGCUGGAAGCUUUGCCGGCCGACGGUCUUCAGCCGCCUGGCUCCCCAGGGAUGGCCCCGGCUGCCUGAGUCGUGCCCCAUUCCGGGGGCCCCAGCCAAAGAUUAAUCAGUGCAGUGACCUUCCCUUGGCCUAACUCUGUGAGGCCUUUCUAGCACCGGCGCUGACUGUGGGUGGCAGAGGCCAUCACCAGGCCUACGCUGCCGUUGGACAUCCCCCUCUCCCCAUCCUGCAUCCCUCCCUGCCCUUCCGCACGUGUGGAUCCCAAGGGCACCCUGCACGCUCAGCUCUGUCUCAGCGUCUGCUUCCUGUAGCGCUCACCUGCCACAUUCUCCCUUAGACCUUCUCUGUACGUGACUGUCCUGCCCUUUAGACUGAGCUCCUUAAGGGCAGGGGCUGAACCUUGUUUAUUUCCCAACCCACAGUGCCCAGGGCAGGCGUGUAGUAGGUCCUCAGGAGAAGUUUGAGGAUAAAUAAAUGCAGUCGUUUACAAGCUGUUGUGAGACAGAGGAAAUGAAAGGCGGGAUAGGGCACCUCAUUCAGUGCCUUUUGUUUACUGUCGCCUUCCCAGAAGAGUAUGAGUUUCUCUUAUCCUGUCCUCCCCUCCCCUGCGUCACUUCCCACAGGCAACUCCAGUCUCCAAACCGGGAUUUCCCCCCAGACUCCAUCUGUCUUUCUGGACUAAAAACUGGGUUCGGGAUGUGGUCUCUCAGGAGCUGUUGAAGUAACAGGAGAAGCCAAUGUGUGGGCUGGAGGCUGCUUAUUCCAGAAGAACGACCUUGUGCUCCCCGGCUCUCUCCACGUGUAGACAUUUUUCUCUUAGUUGAUUCCUAUUUAUCUCAACCUUGGCACUUUUCAUUAAAUACUCUGUUUCAGGUGAGGUCAACGUGUUGCUGACACCUAGCCAGGCCCGUCCCAGGGCUCUCAGGAGGUGGCACCCGUGGGGUUGGCGCUUGUGGAGGGAAAUGCCAUGUUGAGCUGGGACACAGUUAGCAAUCAAGACGAGGGACUUGGGCAGAACAGCAAUUCCUUUCCACGAUCCUUCCUGGAAGACACUUCAGGGACAGGUGCUCCCAUCUCCAUUACCCCCACAGAGUUAGGAGGAAUGGGCAGUUCUCUGAAGGGAGAAGCUCUGAUAAGCUUCACAUGAGGGACCCCAGCGGGCACGCUGAAGAAAGCUUCGUGGGUCUCAAGUCACAACCCUGACUGAUCCUGGGAUUAUUGUGUCAGGAGCUUCAGUACUCUACCCCAGGUGCACUUUUGAAUAGCCUGGGCCCAGCCACCACGGCUGUAGAGGCUCCUCGCUGGGCCUCCUUGAGGACUGGAAGGAAAUUGGCCCAAAGGAAAAAUUGACUGGGAGUCUUAUCCCCUCACGGAGGACUCUCCUCCUCUCCUAAGCAGGCCAGGCACUUUCCUCGUGUCAUCUCAGGCCCAAAGUGGCUCCCUGUGACGUGACAUUGGAGGCCCCCCCGAGGGAGGACAUUCCUCUGAUCUGCAGUCGUGCAGCUGUGCUUGUGUGGGGAUCAACACAUAAACAAGAGCCGCCCAGGCGGCAUGGCAGACUCCUAAGGUAAUCAGAACGCAUUUUUAUCUGUAGUCUCAGCAUUCUUCACGAUCUGUUUACUGUUGGUAAUUCUUCCCUGCCCCUGCACGAGAACUCCAGCAGGCCCCAAAAUGUUUUUGCUUAUUAAGUAGGAGACAAUCCUUGAGUCCUUUUAGGCUUCAAGUGCUGACUUAGCCCAGCAAUGAGCGUGUCUAGUUCCCAAGAGCAGUCAACAUCCUGAACCCAGUAAGAGGCCAAACCUUGUCUCCUUCCCCAGUGGCUGCCUGUGGGCUGGAAGCCAGCUGUGGGGAACUGGGUGGCAGUCUGGUUGACUUCUCCUCAGUCUCUCUGUGGCUGGCCCAUGGGCUCAUGGCACAGGGGAGGACGAGGAAAAAGGUGAGGAAAAGUCUCACUUCAUGGAUGGAAUCGUCAUAAACUGGCCUCACCUUUCAGGGACGACCAGUCAUCUAAAGCCGGCUCUCCCUCUCUUGGGGUGUUCUCAUGAGCCACUUAUAGGUUCCCCCCGGACUCCCCACUGUGACAGUGCCCUUGGCCUCCACAUCAGGACAUUUCCAUUUCAAGAGGUUAUUGACACUCCUUUUUCAGCCUUUAGUCAUUUACCUCCAACUACUCUCUACUAGAGUCUCUCUGCACUUCACAGAGGUGCAAGAUCCUUAGGCCAAGAUCCUAGGUGACCCCACAUGAGAUCUCUCUCCUUAAAGUCCAUUGUCCCAACACUACACAACUCUUACCCCAACAAGCCUGGUGUUUUGGCCAAUCCUGCCACGGUAGCAGUCUCCUGGCUCAGCUUCCAAAGCUGGGGGCUCAGUCAGUUGACUGUCUGACUCUUGAUUUCUGCUCAGGUCAUGAUCUCACAGGUUGGGAGAUCGAGCCCUGUGUUGUGUUCUGUGUUGAAAGUGUGGAUCCUGCUUGAGCAAUCUCUCUCUCUCUCUCUCUCUCUCUCUCUCUCUCCCUCUUUCUGCCGCCCCCCAAAACCUAUGGCUCACAGGGAUGAUGCUACCAAUAAACUUGUUGUUUACCUCAUAGAGUCAAGAUCACUAGCAAGAGGACAAAGUCCCAGAUUUAGUCAUUAGUGAAAAGGCAAUCUUUUUGGCAAUCUUGCUUAUAAAACUCAAGGAACUGAGCUGUGCAAACUCGUGACCACAGCUCUGCCCCUGUGGACUGAGGGGGAGAAAGAAAGGCUGGAAAUGGACUCAGAUGUCAGUUUGGGUCACAGCAGAGGUGGAAGGGGGUGGAUAACAGGAAAAUCUUCUGCUCUUUGAGCAGCAGUGUGGUCAAUGGCAUGGAUUCUAGACCCAGGUAGCUCUGGAUUUGAAUCCCAGCACCUGCUGACCACCCAUGAUGUGUGUAAUUUGGGGUAAAUAUUUCACGACCUUGAACCUCAGCUUCUUUGGUAAAAUGUGGAUGUCCCUUACCUCACGUGGUGCAUUCAUGAUAACAAGAUGAGAUUUUAGGUGGAAAGUGACUGCACAGUGACUGGCACCUGGCAAGCUCCCCAUAAGUCAGUUCAGCCCCACCAGAUGCUGUGUUUUACGGCGACUCAGGAGAAGAACUCUGAAGAGGUCAUACAUGUUACCCUGGUGAAAGUCACAGCAAAACCUUUCAACCCUGAGCUGGAAAAGCAGGGACGUAAGAAAAGGUAUUUACUGAUCACAUCCUGUGUGUCAAACUAAGACUUAAGAAGAGUCUUCUUAAAGAGCAUUUUGAAAGAGCUUUCUCAUUUAGUAUUCCAAAUAAUGCUAUGACAUUGGUAGUUUUUAUAAAAAGAAAUCAAGGCUCAGAAAUAUCUCAGAUUGGCUUAGAUUUGAAUGCAUGGGACAGAAAAACUGAAAAUAAUAAUGACUUAAAUAGGAAAGAGAGAGACAUAGUGUUAGCACCCAAGCUUCUCCUAUCUUGUUGCUCUCCCGUCCUCAGCAUUGGCUUCCACUCCGUGGCUCAAGAUGGCUGCUUAAGCUUCAGCCAUCCCCUCCACAUUCCAGCCAGUACGAAGGAGGAAGGACUAAAGAAGGGUGCACCUUCUUCCUUCAAUGGCACUUCCUGGAAGUUGUACACAUACUACUUUCCCUUACAAGCUAUUGGCUAAAACUUAGUCACCUGGCUACACAUAGCUGUCAGGGAGUUGGGAAAUGCAGUCUUUAUUCUAGGCAGCUCUGAUUUAAAAAUCAGAGCUUCUGUUACCAAAGGAGUAAAGAAUGGAUAGUGGGCCGAACAACGAACAAUUUCUGCUAUGGAUAUUAAGUAACUUGCCCAGAGUUUUCCAGUUGAACUCUGUCUGAAGAAGGUGCUGGUGCUACCAGAGGGAAGAGGCAGGAAGGACAUAGGAGUGUGAGGAGGUAGAAGCUUAGGAUAAUGUCGGCCCUGCUCCAGGGUCUCCUGUCUGCUCUGCUGAAACUCCAGUUGCUUUGCCAGGAGUCUAGUCAAGUACCUAGCCACCUGAAUCUUCACUGAAGAAGAAAGCCACAUGGCUUUGCCAUUGGACGCUGGUGCUAAAACCUACAUGGCAGAGGAGAGAGGAAAUAUGUCAAAGUCAGUGUUGAAAGGGUGGGAAGGGAUAAAAAGUAGAGCGAUUUUCAUUUCCCUUCAGCUUUCUGCCUCUUGGCUUCUCUUCAACAAUGGUUGACUCAUGGUUCCAUUCUAUUUUAGCUGAUACGUGGUCAGCUUUUACCCUAUGGAAGACCCCAAAUGGGCCUGGGGCGGGGGGUUGUUGGGGGAAGAUCAUUGAAAAGAUGUGAUGGCCAGGGGACCUGUGAGAUGGACCUGGGAAAUGUGAGUCUGGAUAGCAAGAAGAACUGGAAUUUGAAUUGUGAUCUUUUGACUUCACGUUACGAACAAGCAAGACGAAUGAAAGCAAGACUAAGCAAACCCAGCUCUCUCCAGAGUACAGACCCCUGAUGCCAACACCAGACAUGGGUACCCCACUUUACAAAAUGUCCCUCAGUCUCUUGUCCAGGCAAUGAUCCAGGGCCAUUAAAGGCUAACAGAAGCAUCACAGCCACCAGACCCAACUGAGGACAGGUGCAAAUAGUCAACAUGCUUCAGUAGCCCCAGGGGGCAAUGCAGAACUGUGAAUGGUCUCCAAACUGGUUUUCAUAACAAUGACCUUAAGUCAGCAAGGCAAAUGGGAUCCUAUCCUCAUUGCACUCUUAUUUCAGAAAACAGUGAGUGCGCAAGAGAUUUGAGGAAAUCAAAAAUGUUUAACACAGAUGUUUAACCAAGAGUAAAUUGUUUAGAGCACUUGUAAGUUUUCAAUAACGUGGAGAGGAGUUGUUGACUCUGGCAGAUGGAGUAGGCGGCUUUCGAGGAGAAGGGAUCGCCCCAGAAUUUCCCACCGUGAAGCUGAGCGCCCAGGACACUGUGGUGGAUGAGCAUUGGGGUUCCGCAGGAUAUGCCAAUUCCCUUUCCUUUCAUCAGGACAGGAAGAAGGGAAUGAGCUUCCAAAAUCCCUGUUGGAAAUUACAUUGAUUUACCAUUUCCAUUCUUUAUGACAUUUUUCAGGGAUUGUUAAAUGUUUCUGGUCAGGGCUGUGUUAUUAUUUCAGCCUUAGUAGCCCUUUAAGGGUUCCCGACACCUCUGGAGAGCAGCAUGUGGACUGCAUCAGCACUGAGUGGGUCUGAGCUAUAAUAGGGUGUCCUCUGACCCUAAUCCCAACCGCCGUCUGGAUUUAUGGGCUCCCACCAGUGCAGAGGGUGGGUGGAAGGACCAGGGAGGCUCACUAGCUGCGCGGUCAGCCUAGGGAGCUGGGAUUACAUAGCUGGGAUCUGCUCAAAGCACCAACUUCAUAAGAUUCCCCCAUUUUGCACAACCCUGCAACAGAAGCCACAUCCUCAUUGUGCAAGUUCAGGUUUAACCACAGACCAAACAGCCUGUGCCUUGCUAGGCAAGGAGGGGCCUGACCCACUGAAGAGUGCUUUCUUUUAAUAAGGAGGAAGGGGUUGGGGCGCCUGGGUGGCGCAGUCGGUUAAGCGUCCGACUUCAGCCAGGUCACGAUCUCGCGGUCCGUGAUUUCGAGCCCCGCGUCAGGCUCUGGGCUGAUGGCUCGGAGCCUGGAGCCUGUUUCCGAUGCUGUGUCUCCCUCUCUCUCUGCCCCUCCCCCGUUCAUGCUCUGUCUCUCUCUGUCCCAAAAUAAAUAAAAAACGUUGAAAAAAAAAUUAAAAAAAAAAUAAGGAGGAAGGGGUUUUUUGGAGGGUGGGAAUCAGGGACCCUAAGGUUUCAGAUUAGGACACUGUGCAAGAUAUUGUCUUAUAAGUUGUUAGGUCACUUUCCAACAUGUGAUUAAAAUGAGCAACUGAUUAAAAUCCAGACAUAAUGCUAUUAUAAAAUAUUUUAGUUUGGACAAAGCCUGAGAAAAACUCAGGCUUCUCCUCCACAAAAACGGACAAACGUUGUCCAGUGAAUUGAAUGAAUGAAUACACGCAAACCAUGGGGGAAAUUCUAAAGGCUGAGUUGAGAGAACAGUGGAUGGUAGAAAUAAAACUUUUAUCUUGAAGCUAUAAUAAAAGGAAACCCAAUAAAUUAAAUGGGCUACAGGAUUCAUGAAGCUGAGUCAUAAAAAAAAAUAAUAAACACAAAAUCCCGUGGGUCAGGCAACAUAAAGAUAAGAAUUCAGAGUCUGUUUGUUUAAUAAUAGGCUCUUUCCUGUUUAGACAAAGAGCAUAUCAAGGAAUUGAUGCAAAUGUGUUCCUGUUUCUAUUCUCAUAGUUCCACUUUCCCGCUAAAAUUACUUUCUGUAGCAGAUGUAACAAUUAAAUGAGAUACUAUGUGUCACUAAGCUUCGGUGCACAAGAAAAACAAAAUACAUGUGGUUAAAUUGGAAUCUGAAUAGUGCUGUUCUUCCUCCGUAUUCCUUCUCCUUUUUCCAGUCUCCUCUGCUUUGUUGGUUCUGUUUGAGAACUAUGUCCCUGGAUCAGUGCUGAUGUGGCCCUGAUCUCCAGGAAUUUUGCUCAUUCACAUCCUCAGUCAAUAUUUAUUGAGUUCCUGUGAUGUACCAGGCUCUCUUCAAGGCCCUGGAGACUCAGUGUUUAAGGAUGACAAAGUCCCUGUUUACAUGUGAGGGGUAAUAAACCAACAGAUGCAUAAAUCUAUGGUAUAACUUGGAGUCCUGUAAAGUGCUCUCAAGAAAUGCAAAGGAGAGCAAUGGGAUAGAGACCAGCAGGUGGGGGUUGGGGGACAUUUCUGUGGAAAGAUCAGGGAACCCUCUCUAGAGAAGGUGGAGAAGUGUCCUGAAUCAUGUGAGGAGUAAAUCCACAGGAGGAUCUGGGCAAAGGACGUGGCAGAGGCAGAAGAAACAGCAUGUGCAAAGGGCCCAGAAGUGGGAAACAAGACUGGUGUGAUUUUAGGAAAACAAAAAGGCCGUGUGGCUGGAACAGAGUGAAUUGCAGAGAAGGUUGUUGGUGAUGAGCCUAGAGGCUUGCUGAGGGGCCAGGUCACGUGGGGCCUCAUGGGGCAUGCUAAGCGGUUCAUUCAGAUUGUUGAGACGUUAUUGAUGAAAACAGGAUUGAUGAAAAGUUAUUGGAGGGUUUGAGUCACAAUAUCGUUUAUGUGUAUUAAAAGGAUCAGUCUGCCUAUUGGACAAAAGGGCAAACCAGAAACAGAGACACCAGUUAGGAGAGGCAGUGUAACAUAGUGGGCAAGGCUCUGGAGCCGGACUGCCUAUGCCGUUAAUGAGCAACGUGAACAUAGCCAAGUUAAAUGACUCGUCUGUGCCUCGGCUUCCUGAUCUGUAAAAUGGGGAUGAUCGUAGUAAAGUCUGCCACUUUGUGCAGGUGGAACCGCCCCCUGGAGCAGUGAACACCGUGUGACGGGUACCUUUUGGAGCUGUGCAACACUGUGGUCUUACUAAUAACAGAGGUGGGUCUUUCUACCUCGUUGGGUUAAACGGUCAAACACAGAGAAGUGCUUAGAACAAUGCCUGGCACCUAGGAAGAGUUUAAUAAAUAUUAGCUAUUAUUUGUAGUCCGGGUGAGAGAUGAUGGCGGCUUGGGCUAAGGUGCUGGUGGUACCAACCGGGGUGGUGAGUGCUCAAGUUUGAAAUAAAAUGUGAAGAAAGAGCCUGCGCUGGCUCCCAGGGGCACAACGGGUCCCGAUGAUGGAACUCGAGGGCUCCAUCUUCGCCAAGACUUCUAGGUGGGGGGUUUUUUCAGUCUGAUUCAUUUUGGAGCUGAGUUUUUCAGCAUCUUCCCCACCAGUAUGUUUCCCGCCUCGAACGAUGAGUGUACGUAGUAUCUCAUUGAUAGAGUGACCGUGCAGGGAAGAGAGUUCAGUGCUUCUCUCGUCUUGUGAGGAUAAAGUGUGCAGAGCCUUCAGGAGUUACUGUCUUGAGGCCACAGUGUCCCUGAAGUCCUUAGUGUCCCUGGUUCCUGAAAUGCCUGUCCUUGUGCCCUCGGUCACCCUCCAUGGCCCCCAAAGGGCUCAGUUAAGAAGCAGCCCAACCAGGAAAAGAAGCACCAGAACAUACAUAAAAGCAGACGGUUCAAAGGCACCAUUCAUUUUCAUUUCAUCGCUUUCAUCAACCACAGAACCCAAGUCAACCAUUUAAGGUUAAGAAAUUUGUUUGGAGGGGCACCUGGAUGGCUCAAGGUGGUUAAGCGUCUGACUCUCGGUUUCUCCUCGGGCCAUGAUCUCACGGUUUGUGAGUUCGAGCCCCACCUUGGGCUCUGCACUGGCAGCCUGGAGCCUGCUUGGGAUUCUCUCUCUCUCUCUGCCCCUCCCCACUCUCUCUCAAAAUAAAUAAAUAAAUAAAUAAAUAAAUAAAUAAAUAAAUAAAUAAAAAAAAUAAAAUAAAAUAAAAUAAAAUAAACCCUGAAAUUUGUUUAGGAUCUGUUCCAUUUUCUCACCCACUUGGCCCUAAGGAAUCUCAAACAGGAAUCUUGGAGGCGGCAGGGGCAUCGGGUGGGCUCAAGAGUGCAGACGCCUAACCCCUCCAGGGUCUUUCUCAACCCCCCAGCACGGCAGCCAUGGGGUAGGAGGUGUGAGUAGCUCUACGUAGCUGCUCUGCCACCCUCGGCCUUAGGUGCCAGUGACAUUGCUGUCUGGUAACUCAUACGUGAGGUAAUCUCAUUUUAUUUGUUCUGGACGCGUGAGGCAUGCAAUUCCUUCUUCAGAAGUUAUAAAGUGGGGCCCCAGCUAAUAACUCAACAUAAAAAGAGGCUGCCGUUUUCUCAUUCUCAGGCGCAGUAAUAAUUCCUGCCGUGAGCCAGUCAUCAUGGAAAUGACUCAGGCUUUCUCUCCUGUGCUAAUAAGGUUUAACUGUCUUUGGUCCUGACUCAAACUGGCUGGGAGCAAAGCCCAAAUAUUAGAAGCUAUACCAAAGUGUGCCACUGUGUAACUGUUUACUUGACUUACCCGGAUACUCUGCAACCCAGUCAUGCCAGCCCUUGGCCUUCCUUCUGAGUCGGCUGCCUUCUUAGCCCAGUUCACCCAAUGGGGGUAUCUGUUGCCCUCUGUCCUCUCUUGCCAGGAAGCUGAGACCACGGUUCUGAACUCAAAAUCAGGCAUCUGGCUCUCUUUGCAUCUCUAAUAUUAGCGAUGCUUCGUGUCUUCUUGGGGGGGGUCCCAGUAUGAGAACUGAUCCAGCCCCAGCUCUCAAGUGAACCCUCUGGUUAGAGGGCUAUGACGGAGGGACCCUCCGGUCUUCUUUUAGUUGAAAUGAUCACUCUGGGGUACACCUGAGAUCCUGGCAGUUCAGAAGUGAGCCAGAGGCCCUUCAUUUAUCUGUAGACAUUAUCGAUUAUCCACCCAGCACCCGGCAGUGCUAGUCAUCAAGGACAGAGCGACAAAGGCACAGUUCCUAACAUCAGGGACCCCGGUAUGGCGGGCUGAUGAGAAAAUAAACAAUUGGAGAACAGUGUGGCCAGUGUUGUAACAGAUCUUCAGGUGCUACAGGGAAUUCAGGGGGUGCCUGACCCGCACCGGUGGCGAAGAAAGAAUUCCUCAAGUCCGGCAUGCUUAAAUGUCUCCAGAAGGGUGCACAGAGCCAUGUAAUCAGAGAAGGGUCAGGAAGGGUGUUCCUAAAGAGAGAGGGAACAGCAUGAAAGGCAUGUGUGACAAAGCCAGCUAGCUGUGACAGGAAGAUCUACUUUCUCCCCCUUCCUGGGCUCACAGCCCCUCUUGCAGUGUGACAGAAGGUGUGCAGACAUGAUGGGUGGGCCUGACCCAGAAGACCCUGUCCUAUAUGCCCUUCUCUGGGCUUUCCCAUGUCAGCUAACUGGGAGCAGGUAGGAAUCAGAGCUCGAAGGGCUCGCAUGCCACUUGCAGGAGCUCCAAAACUGAGGUGCGGGUGAGAAGAAAUCACAUUUUGUUUUUAGAAUAAAAGAGAUGGUACAUUGUCAGUGGUGAGGUUGAACUUGACCUGGGCUCUGUGCUCCUGGAAAACAGCGCUAUUUAAGAAAUCCCCUGCCCUUUUGUUUUCCCAAACCCUUUAUCCUUUGCUGUUCCAAGGCUAAGCCUCAGAGGACCACCGUGGCCUCCAGUGUUUCAAGAUAAUAAGACCCAUCUGCCUCCUUUCUCAAGGCUUCUAUAGGACUCGAGGAUGACUCCCUUCUUUACCAACCCACCUAGAACCCCAGGGCCCCUUCCUUUUUUGUUUGAGACUUUCCUCCCCCAUCAUUAUCCUCCUGAUUGCAAUAGCUGGAAUGAAAGCAGCUCUUUCAUUGUCUGUGGCAUUUCGUCUUUAUGUUAAUACAGUAGCAUCGAUCUGAAACUCACUUCUACUUGGGAGUAGAUGGCUAUGUGCUUUAUUUUUCUUUAACAACUUUUAUUAUUUAUUAAUUUGUCACCAGUCAGCCAUGAGAAUAUAGACUCCUUGAGGGAAGAGUUUGUCUUCUUCACCAUUUACCACCAUAUCCCCAAAGGCCUAGAAUAGUUCCUGGUACACAGUAGGCACUCAAUAUUUAGGACAACUCAUGGUAUGGUGACCCCUCAGCCCAUGUGAGCUUUCUGCCAUCCUCCCUAAGCUCCUCCUGCCCUUCUCUCUCUUGUCUCUCUCCCUCUUUCUCUGUGUCUGGUUGUCUCCUGCUCUAGCCCCUUUCUGCCCACCUGCCUGCCCCUCUCUUCCCUCUCUCUUUUUUUAUUCAAGGUUUUUUUUUUUCUUUUUUGAGAGAGAGAGAGAGAGAGAGAGAGAGAAAUCUCAUGAACUGUGAGAUCGUGACCUAGCUGAAAUUAAGACUGAAGCACGUGGACGCCCCUUCAUUUUGAUCUCUUUCCUAAUCCCUCUCUUCCUCUUGCUUCCCUCUCUCCUCCUCAGGCCUGGCAGUCCCGUCUCCUCCCUUCAGCCCCUAUUCUCCAGUCAGGUUGUUCAGUUGGGAGUGUGCAGGGUCAAGUGAAAA
rnacentral:lncRNA from 1 species